rnacentral:lncRNA from 1 species
UACGAAAAGGGAAAGAACAAACUAGAUACAAGGAUAACCUUGAUGGACUAUUAUUUUUUAAUACUAUCAGCCUGUACUCAUGAAAAUACACUACAAGGAAAAAUAAUCACCUACAAGUUGUCCCUACAUAAGGUACUCUUUUGGCCAUUCCACUACAAAUUAGUUACUCUUUCAGCAAUUUCAAUACAAGUUAGUGUGUUUUGCCCAAUAUUAUGUACCUAGAACAGUACACACCCUAUCGAUUUGCAACCAUCCAUUUCCGGGUCUAGAGUUUGAACCAUCUCUUUUUGUUCAUUAUCCCAAAAAAUAUUUACUCAUCGUUGAACAAUAACAUAAUGCCUGCCAUAGUAAGAAUUUGAACAACAAUGUGCAUGUUCUUGAUGAUGAUCCCAUGAUAAGUUAGCAUCAUCUUUUUUGAAUUGGCAGGUAAGGUCCUACCGACGACAAUAUUUGACUUCGUUGUAUUUUUGUUCCUCUCACGGGACAUCAUACCAGAGUUGAAACCGAACUGAAGGUACAAGGCAUGGCCUGGUAGACAACCUACUUCUUUUUUUUUGGUUGGAUUUCAGAAACUGCGGGCCUAUAUUGUGUGCUGCAUGUAUUAAUUCCACUAUUUAGUUUCACAUGAAAGAAUCUUAGUAUAAUUAAAAUCAACUAGGUAUUCCAACUCCAUGCAGGGGGACGCCAUGGAGCAAGUCGAGUUCGUGGAGCAAGUCAUGGACGAUGCCAAGGAAGGUAUACUCUCUCCCUCUCCUUACCGUGCUACUUCUCGUUGUGUCCAUGGCCAUUGAGUUGUGCUAGGUUCUGUGCUGCUGUCGACGCACAUUUAUAAGAUUUGGGGCUGUAGGUUUCAGUGGAUUUAUUUAGAAAUAAAUAGAUAUGUUGGUUCACAGAAAACAGUUUUACUGUAGAUGUAAAGAAUUAGCAAUGGAUCUCUAGGCUGGUGAUGACCAUGUAAAUUCAUUUCAGUGGAUUUGGGGCUGUAGGUUUGUUUCAAAGCGUGGUGAGCACUUACAAGUUUCCCUAUUUCCUGUUGGAUGACUGAAACCAACUAGAAAUAGAUGUUUUGGUUCAGUUUCAGAUGACAAACCGUUUUGGUCCAGUUUGCUAACAAACUGGAGAUGAAAAGAGAAGUGGUACUGUCAAUCACAUUGCCCUAUGCACAUCAGCACUUAGGCUAAUGUCCAUAUAAUUUUAUUUAGCCAUGUUUUCUGCAGUUUGUGUCGUAUAUUGUGGCGUCUGGAUUAGUCAUCAAGGACAACUAACACUCAUGCUGGUAUCUUCUCAUAAUCACAUACGAAUUUGUGUUCAAAUUGUAGUGCUAUCUUGUUUAUUUGAUUCUUCUUAUUUUCUAUUAGACUGUUGUCCAGACCAAAAAAAAUGUGCUGAUGAGCAGUAAGUGUGCGCAAAGUGGUUCUUACUUCUUAAUGCACUGUGUGUUAACGGUUCAUUUUCUUAUUUUCUUUGUAGGUUCAAAAGAUACAUGGAUGAUUAUAUGGGUGCAUGACAAGUACACUGCAAUGUGAUGAUGAUGAUGAUCUUCCAGUUCAUGAUGAUGAUGAUGGAUGCUUUCAGUUUUAGUUAAGUUGUAGGGAUGUUGUUCCUAUUCGAUGAUGUUCCUCGGUUAUGUUUUAGUUAAGUAUGAGGGAUGUUGAUGAAUGCUUUUAGUUUAAGUUUCUUUCUCGAGAAAAUAUUAAGAUAUGCAUCACAUUUGGAUGCUCUUCCUCCUGUAAUAUCCACUACUGUAAUCCAACAAUUUUAUCCAAUAUAUGAUUUCUUCCUCUUGUGAGUAUAUUUUCUUGUCUUUUCCUAGCUUGAUAUACAUAAUUAUCACCAUUAUGUGGAGCAUUAAUUCAAUUGCUGUUAUAUACAUAUAUUAUUAUUAUUAUUAUUAUUAUUCACACUAUAUAUGUACAAACACCUAAAGCGUGGCAAAUUAUCUAUUGCCAAACAAUGAGAUUUGGAUUCUGGUAUAUUGAGCACUGAUGACCCACAAGUAUAGGGGAUCUAUCGUAGUCGUUUCGAUAAGUAAGAGUGUCGAACCCAACGAGGAGCAGAAGGAAAUGACAAGCGGUUUUCAGUAAGGUAUUCUCUGCAAACAUUGAAAUUAUAGGUAACAGAUAGUUUUGUGAUAAGGUAAUUUGCAACGAGUAACAAGUAAUGAAAAUAAUAAGGUGCAGCAAGAUGACCCAAUCCUUUUUGUAGCAAAGGACAAGCCUGGACAAACUCUUAUAUAGAGAAAAGCGCUCCCGAGGACACAUGGGAAUUAUCGUCAACCUAGUUUUCAUCACGCUCAUAUGAUUCGCGUUCGUUACUUUGAUAAUUUGGUAUGUGGGUGGACCGGUGCUUGGGUGCUGUCCUUACUUGGACAAGCAUCCCACUUAUGAUUAACUCCUAUUGCAAGCAUCCGCAACUACAAAAGAAGUAUUAAGGUAAACCUAACCAUAUCAUGAAACAUAUGGAUCCAAAUCAGCCCCUUACGAAGCAACUCAUAAACUAGGGUUUAAGCUUCUGUCCAUCUAGCAACCCAUCAUCUACUUAUUACUUUCCAAUGCCUUCCUCUAGGCCCAAACAAUGGUGAAGUGUCAUGUAGUCGACGUUCACAUAACAUCACUAGAGAAAAGACAACAUACAUCUCAUCAAAAUAUCGAACGAAUACCAAAUUCACAUGACUACUUAUAGCAAGACUUCUCCCAUGUCCUCAGGAACAAACGUAACUACUCACAAAGCAUAUUCAUGUUCGUAAUAAGAGGGGUAUUAAUAUGCAUAAUGGAUCUGAACAUAUGAUCUUCCACCAAGUAAACCAACUAGCAUCAACUACAAGGAGUAAUCAACACUACUAGCAACCUAUAGGUACCAAUCUGAGGCUUUGGGACAAAGAUUGGAUACAAGAGAUGAACUAGGGUUUUAGAGGAGAUGGUGCUGGUGAAGAUGUUGAUGGAGAUUGACCCCCUCCCGAUGAGAGGAUCGUUGGUGAUGACGAUGGCGACGAUUUCCCCCUCCCGGAGGGAAGUUUUCCCGGCAGAACAGCUCUAUCGGAGCUCUAGAUUGGUUCCGCCAAGGUUCCACCUCGUGACGGCGGAGUUUCUUCCUGAAAGCUUGCUUAUGAUUUUUUCCAGGGUAAAAGACCUCAUAUAGCAGAUGAUGGGCACCGGAGGCCUGCCAGGGGGCCCACGAGGCAGGAGGGCGCGCCCCCCACCCUCGUGGCCAGGGUGUGGGCCCCUCUGGUACUUUCUCCGCUCAGUAUUUUUUAUUAAUUCCAAAAAUGACUUCCGUGAAGUUUCAGGACUUUUGGAGUUGUGCAUAAUAGGUCUCUAAUAUUUGCUCCUUUUCCCGCCCAGAAUUCCAGCUGCCGGCAUUCUCCCUCUUCAUGCAAACCUUGUAAAAUAAGAGAGAAUAUGCAUAAGUAUUGUGAAAUAAUGUGUAAUAACAGCCCAUAAUGCAAUAAAUAUCGACAUAAAAGCAUGAUGCAAAAUGGACGUAUCAACUCCCCCAAGCUUAGACCUCGCUUGUCCUCAAGCAGAAGCCGAUAACGAUAAAUAUGUCCACAUGUUUAGAGAUAGAGGUGUCGAUAAAAUAAAAUACGGACAUGACGGCAUCAUGAUCAUUCUUAUAACAGCAACAUAUAUGGAUAUUGUCAUAUGAUUUCUUAUGCUCAAGUAAUAAUCUAUUCACAAUGUAAAGUAUGAAUCAGAAACUUCAUUGAGAACUAACAAACUAUGAUCUCGGUCAUUGAAGCAAUUGCAAUUUAUCAUAACAUCAGAAAGAGUCAAUAUAAGAGCUUUUCGGCAGGUCCACAUACUCGACUAUCAUUUAGUCUUUCACAAUUGCUAACACUCAUGCAAUACUUGUGGUUAUGGAGUUCUAAUCGGACACAGAUAAAGAUAGGGGCUUAUAGUGUUGCCUCCCAACCUUUUACCUCAAGGGUAAUGUGAACAAUAAUAGUUCAUGCUAACUUACAUCCAAUUGGAUAUAUAUAUCAGGAUCUUUCCAACACAAUGUGCUUGCCAAAGGAUAAAAUGUAAAAAGGAAAGGUGAAGAUCACCUUGACUCUUGCAUAAGGUAUAAGAGAAGAAUAAAGAUAGGCCCUUCGCAGAAGGAAGCAGAGGUUGUCAUGUGCUUUUAGGGUUGGAUGCACGAAAUCUUAAUGCAAAAGAACGUCACUUUAUAUUGCCACUUGUUAUAUGGACCUUUAUUAUGCAGUCUGUCGCUUUUAUUUCUUCCACAUCACAAGAUCGUAUAAAGCUUAUUUCCUCCACACUAAUAAGUCAUACAUAUUUAGAGGGCAAUUUUUUAUUGCAUGCAACGAUGACAACUUACUUUUAGGAUCUUACUCAGUCCAUAGGUAGAUAUGGUGGACUCUCAUGUCAAAAUUGGGUUUAAGGGUAUUUGGAAGCACAAGUAGUAUCUCUACUUGGUGCAAACAAUUGGCUAGCAUGAGGGAGAAGGGCAAGCUCAACAUGUUGGAUGAUCCAAGACAAUAUACUUUAUUUCAGAUAUAAGAAAACAUAACGAUUACGUUGUCUUCCUUGUCCAACAUCAACUCUUUAGCAUGUCAUAUUUUAAUGAGUGCUCACAAUCAUAAAAGAUGUCCAAGAUAGUAUAUUUAUAUGUAGAACCUCUCUUUCCUUAUUACUUCCUAUUAAUUGCAACGAUGACCAAAACUAUGUGUGUUAACCCUCAACAACUUUUAAUCAUCAUACUCUUUAUAUGUGAAGUCAUUACUCUCCAUAAGAUGAAUAUGAUCUCUUUUAUUUCUUUUUAUUCUUUCUUUUUCUUUUUAUUCCCUCAAGAUCAAAGCAUAGUAAUCAAGCCCUUGACUCAACACUAAUCUUUAUUAUAUAUAGCUUACAGACUCGAUUAUAUAGAAGGAUCAUAAGGCAAAACUCAAAACUAAAUCAUUACUAAAACUUUAUUCUACUAGAUCAAGAUAUUACUAAAAGGAUCGAACUAAGAAAAUCGAUAAAGAUAGGAGUGUGAUGGUGAUAUGAUACCGGGGCACCUCCCCCAAGCUUGGCAGUUGCCAAGGGGAGUGCCCAAACCCAUGUGAUUAUGUCUAUUUUGCUGGUCAAGGAGAUGGAGGUGAUGAUGGAUAGUCGCACAUCGAGCGUAGGAGGUCCUCCAAUUUGCGGAUAAUGCCCUUGAGUGCGAUGAUAUGCUCCUUCAUCAAAAUAUUUUCACGGGUGAGAUACUUGUUUGUAUACGAGAUAACUCAAUCAUCUUGAAAGCUUCGAUCUCAGUUGGGGUAAGAAGAUUGUGAUCAAGUUGAAGGAUGUCUUCUGCUGCCGGAACUUGGUCCUCCGUGGCCUUCUUGAUCCCAUCAUACUUGUUGAUCUCCAUGGGUUCUUCCCUCUUCAGCUCUAUCUUCAUUAGCCAAGCAUCAUUGUCACCAUUGUUGGAGGAGGGGGACGAAAUGAUGCCUGGCCUUGACAACCCUGACAGAAAACAGGUCGAAACAAAAACAGAGGAUAUUUGCGUGGUACAAGAGUCAAAACCUUCGGGAGAUUAUAUAAUGAUUUUUUACCAACCAAAAGAAGUAUCGUGCAAGAAAACAAAGUCCGGAGGGCACACGAGGUACCCACGAGGCAGGGGGCGCGCCCUCCACCCUCGUGGACGCCUCAUGUCCUUCCCGGACUACUUCUGAUUUUCCUAUUUUCUUAAAUAUUCCAAAACGGAGAAAAAUCACCAUUAGAACUGUUUUGGAGUCGGUUUACUUACCGUACCACAUACCUAUUCCUUUUCAGAGUCUGAAACGUUCUGGAUUGUGUCCCUUAUGUAUUCCUCCGGGGUUACAGUUUCAAUAAUAUUAGUUUCAACAUUUAUGGGAUUACCUCAGAUAUAAUGUUUGAUUCUUUGACCGUUAACCACCUUUGGAUUUGUGCCUUCGAAGUUGUUGAUUUUUAUGGCACCGGAACGAUAGACCUCCUCGAUAACGUAAGGACCUUCCCAUUUAGAGAGAAGUUUUCCUGCAAAAAAAUCUUAAACGAGAGUUGAAUAGCAACACAUAAUCACCUACAUUAAACUCACGCUUUUGUAUCCUUUUGUCAUGCCAUCUUUUAACCUUUUCUUUAAACAGUUUGGCAUUCUCAUAGGCCUGGGUUCUCCAUUCAUCAAGUGAGCUAAUGUCAAAUAGCCUCUUCUCACCGGCAAGUUUGAAAUCAUAAUUGAGCUCUUUACUUGCCCAAUAUGCCUUAUGUUCUAAUUCGAGAGGCAAGUGACAUGCUUUUCCAUAAACCAUUUUAUACGGAGACAUACCCAUAGGAUUUUUAUAUGUAGUUCUAUAGGCCCAUAAUGCAUCAUCAACUUUCUUAGACCAAUUCUUUCUAGAUCUAUUAACAGUCUUUUGCAAAAUUAAUUUGAGUUCUCUAUUACUCAAUUCUGCUUCACCACUAGACUGCGGGUGAUAAGGGGAUGCAAUUCUAUGAUUAACAUCAUACUUUGCAAGCAUUUUACGAAAAGCACCAUGAAUAAAAUGUGAUCCACCAUCAGUCAUUAAAUAUCUAGGGACUCCAAACCUUGGAAAAAUAACUUCUUUAAGCAUCUUAAUAGAGGUGUUAUGAUUAGCACUACUAGUUGGAAUAGCUUCUACCCACUUAGUAACGUAAUCAGCAACAACUAAAAUAUGUGUAUACCCAUUAGAGGAAGGAAACGGUCCCAUAUAAUCGAAGCCCCAAACAUCAAAUGGUUCAAUAACGAGUGAAUAAUUCAUAGGCAUUUCUUGACGUCUACUAAUAUUACCAAUUGUUUGACAUUCAUCACAAGACAAGAAAAACUUACGGGCGUCUUUGAAGAGAGUAGGCCAAUAAAAACCGGAUUGCAAUACCUUAUGUGCAGUUCUAUCUCCAGCGUGGUGUCCUCCAUAAGCUUCGGAGUGACACUUGCAUAGGAUCUGUUCCUGUUCAUGCUCAGGUAUACAAUGUCUAAUAACACCAUCUACUCCUUCUUUAUAAAGGUGUGGGUCGUCCCAGAAGUAAUGUCUUAAAUCAUAGAAAAACUUUUUUCUUUUGCUGGUAUGUGAAACUAGGUGGUAUAAAUUUAGCAACAAUGUAAUUAGCAUAAUCAGCAUACCAUGGAGCAGUACCAGAAGCAUUUAUGACAUUUAAUUGUUCAUCAGGAAAGCUAUCAUCAAUAGGUAGUGGGUCAUUAAGAACAUUCUCUAACCUAGACAAGUUGUCUGCAACGGGGUUCUCUGCUCCCUUUCUAUCAAUAAUAUGCAAAUCAAAUUCUUGUAGUAGGAGAACCCAUCUAAUAAGUCUAGGUUUAGCAUCUUUCUUCUCCAUAAGAUAUUUAAUAGCAGCAUGAUCAAUGUGAAUAGUUACUGUAGAAUCAACAAUAUAAGGUCUGAACUUAUCACAAGCAAAUACAACUGCUAAGAAUUCCUUUUCAGUAGUAGCAUAAUUUCUCUGGGCACUGUCUAGAGUUUUACUAGCAUAUUGAAUAACAUUCAAUUUAUUAUCAACUCUUUGUCCUAGAACAACACCUACAGCAUAAUCACUAGCAUCACACAUAAUUUCAAAGGGUAAAUUCCAAUCAGGUGGCUGAACAAUAGGUGCAGAAAGCAAAGCUUUCUUAAGUAUUUCAAAUGCUUCUACACAAUCAUCAUCAAAGACAAAAGAAAUAUCCUUUUGUAAAAGAUUAGUCAGAGGCCUGGAGAUUUUAGAGAAGUCCUUAAUGAACCUCCUAUGAAAACCGACAUGACCAAGGAAACUUCUUAUACCUUUAAUGUCCUUGGGACACGACAUCUUUUCAAUAGCAUCAACUUUAGCUUUAUCAACUUCAAUACCUCUUUCAGAAAUUUUAUGCCCCAAGACAAUGCCUUCAUUGACCAUAAAGUGGCAUUUCUCCCAAUUUAAGACAAGAUUAGUUUCUUCACAUCUCUGCAAAACUCGAUCAAGGUUGCUCAAGCAAUCAUCAAAAGAGGAUCCAUAAACGAAGAAAUCAUCCAUGAAAACCUCACAAAUAUUUUCACAAAAGUCAGAGAAUAUAGUCAUCAUGCAUCUUUGAAAGGUAGCAGGUGCAUUACAUAAACCAAAAGGCAUACGUCUAUAAGCAAAGGUACCGAAAGGGCAAGUAAAAGUGGUCUUUUCUUGAUCAUCAGCUGACACAGGUAUUUGAGAGAAACUAGAGUAACCAUCUAGAAAGCAGAAAUGUGUAUGUUUGGAUAAUAUUUCUAGCAUUUGAUCAAUGAAAGGCAGAGGGUAAUGAUCUUUUUUAGUAGCUUUAUUUAAUUUGCGAAAAUCAAUUACCAUCCUAUAGCCUGUAAUAAUUCUUUGCGGAAUCAAUUCAUCUUUAUCAUUAGGAACGACAGUAAUACCUCCCUUCUUAGGGACACAAUGAACCAGACUUACCCACUGACUAUCAGCAACGGGAUAAAUUAUACCUGCUUCAAGGAGCUUUAAUAUUUCCUUUCUUACCACUUCUUUCAUCUUAGGAUUUAGCCGUCGUUGGUGAUCAAUAACUGGUUUGGCGUCUUUCUCCAAAUUUAUUUUGUGUUGACAUAGAGUGGGACUAAUGCCCUUAAGAUCAUCAAGAGUAUAUCCAAUAGCAGCACGGUGCUUCUUUAGAGUUUUUAAUAAUUUCUCUUCUUCAUGCUCUGAAAGGUUAGCCCUAAUAAUAACAGGAUAUAUCUUCUUUUCAUCAAGAUAAGCAUAUUUAAGAGUAUCAGCUAGUGGUUUAAGCUCAAACACAGGAUCACCCAUGGGUGGAGGAGGAUCCCCUAGGAUUUCAACAGGCAAGUUGUGCUUCAGAAUAGGUCCCUGUUUAAAGAAUACUUCAUCUAUUUCCCUUCUUUCAUUCAUAAACAUAUCAUUUUCAUGGUCUAACAAAUAUUGUUCUAAAGGAUCACUAGGAGGCACGGCAAUAUAAGCAAGACCAAUAAUUUCAUCUUUACUAGGUAAUUCCUCAUCACAGGUCUGUCUACUAAAUUUAGCAAAAUUAAACUCAUGAGACAUAUCACCCAAACCAAUAGUAACAACAUCCUUUUCACAGUCUAUCCUAGCAUUAACAGUGUUCAAGAAGGGUCUACCAAAUAUAAUGGGACAAAAGCUAUCUUGUGGGGAACCAAGAACAAGAAAAUCAGCAGGAUAUUUAACCUUCCACACAAGACUUCAACAUAUCUAACAAUCCCAAUCAGUGAAAUAGUAUCUCUAUUGGCAAGCUUAAUGGUAACAUCGAUAUCUUCUAUCUUAGCAGGUGCAAUAUCAUGCAUAAUUUCUUCGUAUAAAGAAUGAGGUAUUGCACUAGCACUAGCACCCAUAUCACACAAGCCAUGAUAACAAUGAUCUCCUAUUUUAACAGAAAUAACAGGCAUGCCUACCACAGGUCUAUGUUUAUCUUUAGCACCAGGUUUAGCAAUUCUAGCAGUCUCAUCACAGAAGUAAAUAACAUGCCCAUCGAUAUUAUCAGCCAAGAGAUCUUUAACCAUAGCAAUAUUAGGCUCAACUUUAACUUGAUCAGGGGGUUUGUGUGUCCUAAUAUUACUUUUGUUGACUACAGUUGAACCUUUAGCAUGAUCCUUUAUUCUAACAGGGAAAGGUGGUUUCUCAACAUAAGUAGUAGGAACAACAGGAUCAUCAUAAGUGAUAGUCUUUUCUUCAACUUAAAUAGGUGCAACUACUUUUACUUCAAUGGGAGGAUUAUAUUUAAACCACUUCUCCUUAGGGAGAUCAACAUGAGUAGCAAAAGAUUCACAGAAAGAAGCUACUAUCUCAGAGUCAAGUCCAUAUUUAGUGCUAAAUUCACGGAAAGCAUCGGUAUCCAUAAAAGAUUUAACACAAUCAAACAUAGGUGUUAUACCUGACUCCUUACCUUCGUCGAGAUCCAAAUCUUUAGAGUUGCGUUUAAUUCUUUCCAAUAAAUCCCAUUUGAAUUCAAUAGUCUUCAUCGUCAAAGAGCCAGUACAAGAAGUAUCGAGCAUGGAGCGAUUAUUGAGAGAAAGCCGAGCAUAAAAAAUUUGAAUAAUCAUUUCUCUUGAGAGCUCAUGAUUGGGGCAUGAAUAUAACAUUGACUUAAGCCUCCCCCAAGCUUGAGCGAUGCUUUCUCCUUCACGAGGCCAAAAAUUAUAUAUAUAAUUACGAUCACGAUGAACAAGGUGCAUAGGAUAAAACUUCUGAUGAAAUUCCAAUUUCAAUCGUUUGUAGUUCCAUGAUCCCAUAUCAUCACAUAGCCUAUACCAUGUCAAUGCCUCUCCCUUCAAAGAUAAAGGGAAGACCUUCUUCUUUAUAACGUCAUCGGGCAUACCUGCAAGCUUAAAUAAUCCACAAACUUCAUCCACAUAGAUUAGGUGUAAAUCGGGAUGCAAUGUUCCAUCACCUGUGAAAGGAUUAGCUAGCAGUUUCUCUAUCAUACCCGAAGGAAUUUCAAAGUAAACAUUUUCAGUAUGUUCAGUAGGUUGAGGAGCAACUAUUUGCUCUACUGGUCGGGGUGAAGAUACCCCGAACAAGCCCCUCAAAGGAUUAUGUUCCAUAGUAACAAGUGACAGUAAAUUUUAGCACACUAUAUAAAAAUUUCCUUACCAAGUUCCACCUACCAAAGGCGCUUCACUCCCCGGCAACAGCGCCAGAAAAGAGUCUUGAUGACCCACAAGUAUAGGGUAUCUAUCGUAGUCCUUUUGAUAAGUAAGAGUGUCAAACCCAACGAGGAUCAGAAGGAAAUGACAAGCGGUUUUCAGUAAGGUAUUCUCUGCAAACACUGAAAUUAUAGGUAACAGAUAGUUUUGUGAUAAGGUAAUUUGCAACGGGUAACAAGUAAUGAAAGUAAAUAAGGUGCAGCAAGAUGGCCCAAUCCUUUUUGUAGCAAAGGACAAGCCUGGACAAACUUUUAUAUAGAGAAAAGCGCUCCCGAGGACACAUGGGAAUUAUUGUCGAGCUAGUUUUCAUCACGCUCAUAUGAUUCGCGUUCGUUACUUUGAUAAUUUGGUAUGUGGGUGGACUGGUGCUUGGGUGCUAUCCUUACUUGGACAAGCAUCCCACUUAUGAUUAACUCCUAUUGCAAGCAUUCGCAACUACAAAAGAAGUAUUAAGGUAAACCUAACCAUAGCAUGAAACAUAUGGAUCCAAAUCAGCCCCUUACGAAGCAACUCAUAAACUAGGGUUUAAGCUUCUGUCACUCUAGCAACCCAUCAUCUACUUAUUACUUCCCAAUGCCUUCCUCUAGGCCCAAACAAUGGUGAAGUGUAAUGUAGUCGACGUUCACAUAACACCACUAGAGGAAAGACAACAUACAUCUCAUCAAAAUAUCGAACGAAUACCAAAUUCACAUGACUACUUAUAGCAAGUCUUCUCCCAUGUCCUCAGGAACAAACGUAACUACUCACAAAGCAUAUUCAUGUUCAUAAUCAGAGGGGUAUUAAUAUGCAUAAUGGAUCUAAACAUAUGAUCUUCCACCAAGUAAACCAACUAGCAUCAACUACAAGGAGUAAUCAACACUACUAGCAACCUACAGGUACCAAUCUGAGGCUUUGGGACAAAGAUUGGAUACAAGAGAUGAACUAGGGUUUUAGAGGAAAUGGUGCUGGUGAAGAUGUUGAUGGAGAUUGACCCCCUCCCGAUGAGAGGAUCGUUGGUGAUGACGAUGGCGAUGAUUUCCCCCUCCCGGAGGGAAUUUCCCCGGCAGAACAGCUCUGCCGGAGCUCUAGAUUGGUUCUGCCAAGGUUCCGCCUCGUGGCGGCGAAGUUUCUUCCCGAAAGCUUGCUUAUGAUUUUUUCCAGGGUAAAAGACCUCAUAUAGCGGAAGAUGGGCACCGGAGGCCUGCCAGGGGGCCCACGAGGCAGGGGGCUCGCCCCCCACCCUCGUGGCCAGGGUGUGGGCCCCCUCUGGUACUUUCUCCACUCAGUAUUUUUUUAUUAAUUCCAAAAAUGACUUUCGUGAAGUUUCAGGACUUUUGGAGUUGUGCAGCAUAGGUCUCUAAUAUUUGCUCCUUUUCCCGCCCAGAAUUCCAGCUGCCGGCAUUCUCCCUCUUCAUAUAAACCUUGUAAAAUAAGAGAGAAUAGGCAUAAGUAUUGUGACAUAAUGUGUAAUAACAGCCCAUAAUGCAAUAAAUAUCGACAUAAAAGCAUGAUGGUAAAUGGACGUAUCAAGCACCAGCGUAUAGAAGUGUUGUAGAACUCUGUUUUAUGUGUUGUACUCUUGCAAUGAUCCCUUUUACCAACGGUAGUAUACGCGGUGCAUUAUGCGCUAGCAACACUGGAUAAGGCAACGCAUCCCAAACCGUUGGUAAAGACACUAGCAACGGAUAUAUGGACUUUUAGAUACGGGAAAAAGCGUGGCUAUAGGUGAGGUCAUGUUGUAGUGUCGGUAUGUGACUCCUCCAAUGUCCAAUUAGUUUUUGUUCUAGUGCUUUAUUUAUUGCAAAUUUUUGCUGCUAAGGUGACCCUGUUCUUGAGCUUGCAUGUCAAAUUUAUAUGGUCAAAAGUAGUUUUAAUGCAUGAUAUAGCCUCUAGGCACUUGUGGGAGUAGUUGUUAUCAAUCUUGUUGAGUUUGGUUCACUUUUAUUUUGAGUCACUAAAAAUUUCAGAGGGAGAAAAUGUUGAAGAGAUUGUUGAGAGGCUCUUCGAGCUGAAGCUCGAAGGAUAAGCAGAAUGAGGAGAAUAAAAAUCCCAAAUACAAUCUUCCCCGCACUGCGGAGGUUCGGCCGUGCGAAUGGCCUUGUGACGUGUUCUUGAGAGCUGCCGGAAUUUUCGAUGAUUUUUAUUACUUGGCUGAGAAUGCAGGCCUCACCGACAUCCUCCACGACCAGCGCAAAUAGUAUCUCCUACUCACUAAUAUUUUUGUGCAAAUUUUUUAUUUCCAUGCUAAGAAAUCACCACCUUCAGUGGAGUUUCACUUAUAUGAUGAGGUUAAGGAGGUGUCACUUCAUGAUUUUUGUCGGGUCUGCAAGAUACCCUUUGUGGGCAGCAUCGAGGAACCACACCGUAGUGUUGUGGAUGAAUUUAUUGAUAUAAUUGUUGUAGGGGAAACAAGGAAAGUUUCAGAUGCAAGAAUUACUAGUAUACAUUUUCCUGUUCUACGUAACUUUGCAAAAUUUGCUAGUAGAUGCUUAAUUGGUCGCGGGAAUAGUGGAAAUCUUAGUGCUCCUGAUCUUGUCAUUUUGCGCCAUGCUUUGUUUCGUGAUACAACUUUCAGCUUAGGCGCUAUUAUUGCUAAAAGAUUUAAGUCUGAACCGUACAAAGGGCCCCAUCUUCGGAGGCAUCUUUGCUUCACGCCUUGCUGAACACUUUGAGAUACCUAUUAGGCAUUAUGAGAAAGAGGAAAAGUUGUUGCCCCCUGUUUUUCUGGAUUAUAAGAGUAUGGUAGCACAUGAUUUAUUGUUAAAAAUAAGAAAAAGAUGCUUAAGUACAAUUUGAUAUUUGGUAAAACUCACUGUGAGAUUAUUACCUUGCCUGCACCCUCUUUGUUUAACAUACUUUCAGGCAUGUACCUCAUCUUGCCAGAGGCCAUUUAUGCAUACUGGAGGCUGACACAAGUCCCAUAGCCUGAGCCUGAGCCACCACUUGACCCUUAUCAACAGUCUAUUUAUCAGUGGGAUCCUGAGGAGAUCGCCAACCUGUGGCACCCUGAGGACCCUCCUCAGUACACCGGAGAGAGUAGCUUCGAUCCAUGGGCAUAGACCAACUUAGGCCAAAAGCCUAAGCUUGGGGGAGUAGGUAUUUCUCACCGACAUUACAUUCAUGUUCACAUACUCAUUCUAGUUGUCGGUGCUCACACUUUUUCAUUGUACUAUCCAUGCUAGUUUAUUUUCUUUUCUAAGCCUUCAUCUUGUGUUUUUGAAAAACCUUAAGAAAAACCAAAAAAAUUAGCUGUAGCUUUUAGCUAGUUUACUUUACAUGCAUGUAACGCCCAGAUAAUUAAACUACAGUAAUCCUCUGCUAAUGAGGCCACAUCACCAUUGUUACUGUUGCUAAUCUCGUUAGAUUCAAACGGUUCAAAUCCAAAUUUAAAACUUAAGUCAGAAAUAAAAGUUUUCAAAUGUCAAAACUAAAAUGUUCAAAGUGUGUCGAAUAAUCCCUGGAUAUUUGUCAUGUUGAAAUAAUAUUUUUUAAGGUGGUUAAAUACCCUAAAGUAAUUAAAACAAGGGCUUACACAGUUAUUUAAAUGCAUUUCAAAUAAUAAAUAAAUGCAAACUAUUUUAUUAAAGUGCCAAGUUAUUUGUGGCAGUGCCCUAAUUACUAAUUCUAAUUUAGGGGCUUAGACCAUAUUUUGUAAAACCUAAAAUAAAAUAAAACUAAUUAGAAAACAGAAAGGUUUUAAAAGGAAAAGAGAAAACAGAAGAUAAUAAAACGCAUAAAGAAAAAGAGAUAAGGCCCCUGCCUUUUCCCCUGGGCCAAGCCCACCUGGCCGGCCUAGUUCCCCCGCACCAGGUGCUCCCCUCCACUGUUCCUCAGGCAGCGCCGGGAGAGGAUAAGGCCUCUAGCGCCCCCACCUCCUCGAUCCCCUCUCCCACUCNNNNNNNNNNNNNNNNNNNNNNNNNNNNNNNNNNNNNNNNNNNNNNNNNNNNNNNNNNNNNNNNNNNNNNNNNNNNNNNNNNNNNNNNNNNNNNNNNNNNNNNNNNNNNNNNNNNNNNNNNNNNNNNNNNNNNNNNNNNNNNNNNNNNNNNNNNNNNNNNNNNNNNNNNNNNNNNNNNNNNNNNNNNNNNNNNNNNNNNNNNNNNNNNNNNNNNNNNNNNNNNNNNNNNNNNNNNNNNNNNNNNNNNNNNNNNNNNNNNNNNNNNNNNNNNNNNNNNNNNNNNNNNNNNNNNNNNNNNNNNNNNNNNNNNNNNNNNNNNNNNNNNNNNNNNNNNNNNNNNNNNNNNNNNNNNNNNNNNNNNNNNNNNNNNNNNNNNNNNNNNNNNNNNCGCCCUUCUCCACCCGAGUGCCUCCUGUCACCGCCGCUGCGUCGUCGUCACCACGACCAACGAGCUCUCCGCCGCGGGAGAACCUACCAGGAGCCUCGCCUCGCUCGUCCACACCGUCCUCGCCCGCAAGCUCGAGCCGCGGAGGUCGUCAUCGUCGGAUCGGGCAUCUUCCCCGUUUCGGCCGUCGUCGUUCCGCCUCCUCCGGUCCUCCCCGAGCCUCUCCGGCUCGUCCCCGGCCUCCCCGAGAACGCCAUCCACCCCGUGGUGAGCUCCUCUCCCCAUCCCCCUCUUUUCCUUGCUCGAUCUGUCGCCGUAUCAUCGUCCUCGCGAGCCUGGCUGCCAUGGCCAACGCUUCGCGUCUAAGCGCAAGCUCGCCUGCCCAUCCCCGCGGCUCUGCUCCUCGCAGCGCACCCGCAACCGCUCCUGGUCGCGCCCUGCCUUGCGCCCGGUUGUGCCUAGGCGCACGCGUCCGCCCCCUCGUUACCGCGCUCCCGGGCGCCCCUGCGAGCCGCCGCCGCUGCCUCUUGUACUGCUGCUCGCUGCCUACGCUGGCUGCUCCCCUGCUCCUGCAAUUGCCACGCUGCUGUUGGUGCUACCUUGCCGCUGCUAUUGCUGCUGCUGUUGUGUUGCUGGCUGCGCUGGUGCUGCUACUUAGCUACUGCCGCUGCUCCUUGCCAUUGCGGCUACUCCCUACUACUGCAGCGCUACUGCUCCUGGGCAUGGCCGUCGUGGCCUAUGUGCCGUGCAUGCUGCCCCUGGUUUGCCUAGUCAAACGCAUGGCUUGAGCCACUACCAAACGGGCCGGCCAUUAGACUAGGAUUAGUCUUACUUAACUAACCUAAAACAGGUAUUAGUGUUGGAAUUUUGCUAGUAGGCCUUUGGCCCAAAGCCCAACUAAAAUUCUGAAAUUCUCUUGGCCCAUUCAUGCACACAUGUGAGUGGAGUGAGUGAGGCUAAAGUUUAGUCCCACCUCAUAAGUUGAGAGAGAGUUGCACCUCUUUAUAAGGUGAGCUCUUCUAUCACUUGUAUGAGCAUGAGAAGAGGAGACCUACACGCGCGCUCCUCCUCCUUGCUUGCCUCGCCACGCCAGGCCUCGUCACGACGCGCCGCGCCGUGCCGCGGGUUGCGGGUUGCGGGAUUGAGCCGAGCCGAGGACAGAGCUAUGCACGUUGUCUAUAUUUUUGCUGCACGGGAAAAUUAAUGAGUCAUUAAUUACUGAACCAUUUCCGAUUCUUUUGGAUCGUGAUGACUUGGACGUGGGGUUUACUCCCACGACCUACCCGGCCCGCACUAUAUAGUCAGUCAGACGUCUACCCUAGCCGCCGCCGCUUCGUAUGGUUUCUCACCACCGUUCCAGAUCAUUGCGCCGCCAAGCAAGUCUUCUCCAUCCCUCCUUUCGGCGUGCACCGGGAGAAGGGACAGAAGGCCUCCGGAACCCCGCCUCUCGUGAUCCUGUACGGGAGAGGGGCGAUCAAGUUUUUGGGGAGUGCACUCGCGCGACUGCUGGCAGCGACGACUUCGCGAACGAUGACUUCUUCCCCGACCUCGGCAACCUCAUCCUCGAUGACAUGGGCGACAACGUCAAUGCCGGCGGUGCUGCACCGUAUGUGAUUCUAUCCUUCCUGUUCGAGAUCGUGGUAGAAUUUAUGUUUCUAGUAUGUGCCCCAGAUGUGAUUUGUUCAUCUGCUAUGCUAGUUCGCAUGAUUAGUUUAAUCUCUGCUACUGUAGUCAUGAUUUAUCUUCUGUUUAUUCGAAUUAAAUCUCGUAGUAAUUUGCUCAUAUUUCCAACAAUCCAAAAACCUGAUUAUAGGCAAUUUACUCCGAGUGGUUUUGCUGCGCAUCUGAAGCCGCCUGCCUUUAAGGGGGCGCAAUAUAAGAGGUGGCCCACGAGAGCAGUCUACUGGUUUCAGACCAUGGGCUGCUAUGACGCCGCCAAGGGCAAGCCUGAGGGCAAUCUUAAUCCAGCACAACUGGAAGCUUUUGAGAAGAUCGAUACUCUCUUUAAAGGCGCUCUUCUGAGUGUUUUGGAUGAUUCCAUUGUGGAUUCGUAUAUGUCGUUUGAAAAUGGCAAGGAAAUGUGGGCUGCGCUCGAGGCCAAGUUUAGUGCCUUGGACGCUGGCAGUGAGUUAUACGUCAUGGAGCAAUUCUAUGACUACAAGAUGACUGAUGAGCGCUCUAUUGUACAGCAGGCUCAUGAGAUACAGUCGCUCGCAAAAGAACUUGAGUACUUCAAGUGUGUAUUGCCGGACAAAUUUGUUGUCAGAGGCAUCAUUGCCAAGCUUCCACCUUCGUGGAACAAUUUUCUACUUCCCUGAAACACAAGAGACAAGAGUUUUCCGUUGCGGAUCUCAUUGGUACUCUUGAUGUUGAAGAGAAGGCGGGAGCAAACGACACACGUGCUCGAGUUGCUGAGGGAGCUUCUAGUGCCCACAUGGUACAGAAGAAGAACUUCUAGCCCAACAAGAACAAAACUCAGGCCAAAGGCAAGUUUGAUACAAAGAACAAGCCAUCACAUUCUACCAACUUCAAGAAGAAUUCUCAUAAGAAGGGGAAGGGACUUUUCCAUGUCUGCAGUGAUCCUAAUCACUGGGCUCCGACGUGUCCUAACCGCUUUGAGGAGCGCGAACAUGAGAAGAGCGGCAAGUCUGCUAAUGUUGUCAUCGGUGAUACUGAUAUGAAGGAAUCAGGGCACGAUAUUUUUCCUACCAUCCUUUCAGUAUUUCAAUCCCCUGAUUGGUUAAUUGACACCGGUGCCAAUGUAUAUGUUUGUGCCGACGCCUCCAUGUUUUCUUCUUCCAGGCCACAGGGACUUCUCCCGUGCUGAUGGGGAACGGGUCACAUGCCUCGGUCGAGGUGUUGGUACGGUCGAUCUGAAGUUUACUUCGGGGAAGACCGUGCGUCUGAAGAACGUUCAUCAUGUGCCGUCCAUCAAUAAAAAUCUCGUCAGCAGUUCCUGUUUAUGUCGAGAUGGUUUUAAGUUGGUUUUUGAAUCCAAUAAAGUUGUAAUUUCUAAGUAUGGACAAUUUAUUGGAAAAGGCUAUGAGAGCACAGGCUUGUUCCGCCUGUCUUUGUCAGAUAUCUGCACUAAAGUUAUUAAUAAUGUUUGCCACAAUAAUGAGUCUGAUAUUUGGCAUUCACGACUUUGUCACAUUAACUUUGGUUGCAUGACGCGGCUAGCCAAUAUGAAAUUAAUUCCGAAAAUCUCUAUUGUCAAAGGCUCCAAGUGCCAAGUAUGUGUGCAAGCUAAGCAACCUCGCAAGUCCCAUAAGACUGCAGAGGCAAGAGAAUUGGCACCACUAGAGCUUAUACAUUCGGAUCUUUGUGAGAUGAAUGGCGUGUUGACAAAAGGUAGAAAGAGAUACUUCAUGAAGUUGAUUGAUGAUUCCACUAGAUAUUGUUAUGUGUAUCUUCUGAAAUCAAAAGAUGAGGCUUUAACUUUCUUCAAAAACUAUAAAGCUGAGGCAGAGAACCAACUUGAUCAAAAAAUUAAACGGCUUAGGUCCGAUCGUGGUGGAGAGUAUUUUUCCAAUGAAUUGAUCUGUUUUGUGCGAACAUGGUAUAAUCCAUGAGAGGAUGCCUCCUGAUAACCCACAAGUAUAGGGGAUCGCAACAAUUUUCGAGGGUAGAGUAUUCAACCCAAAUUUAUUGAUUCGACACAAGGGGAGCCAAAGAAUAUUCUCAAGUAUUAGUAGUUGAGUUGUCAAUUCAACCACACCUGGAUAACUUAGUAUCUGCAGCAAAGUAUUUAGUAGCAAAGUAAUAUGAUAGUAGUGGUAACGGUAACAAAAGUAACAGUAGCAAAAGUAAUAUUUUUGGUGUUUUGUAGUGAUUGUAACAGUAGCAACGGAAAAGUAAAUAAUCGAGAACGGUAUGUGAAAAGCUCAUAGGCAUUGGAUCGGUGAUGGAGAAUUAUGCCGGAUGCGGUUCAUCAUGUAACAGUCAUAACAUAGGGUGACACAGAACUAGCUCCAAUUCAUCAAUGUAAUGUAGGCAUGUAUUCCGAGUAUAGUCAUACGUGCUUAUGGAAAAGAACUUGCAUGACAUCUUUUGUCCUACCCUCCCGUGGCAGCGGGGUCCUAGCGGAAACUAAGGGAUAUUAAGGCCUCCUUUUAAUAGAGUACCGGACCAAAGCAUUAACACAUAGUGAAUACAUGAACUCCUCGAACUAUGGUCAUCACCGGGAGUGGUCCCAAUUAUUGUCACCUCGGGGUUGUCGGAUCAUAACACAUAGUAGGUGACUAUAGACUUGCAAGAUAGGAUCAAGAACUCACAUAUAUUCGUGAAAACAUAAUAGGUUCAGAUCUGAAAUCAUGGCACUCGGGCCCUAGUGACAAGCAUUAAGCAUAGCAAAGUCAUAGCAACAUCAAUCUCAGAACAUAGUGGAUACUAGGGAUCAAACCCUAACAAAACUAACUCGAUUACAUGAUAGAUCUCAUCCAACCCAUCACCGUCCAGCAAGCCUACGAUGGAAUUACUCACGCACGACGGUGAGCAUCAUGAUAUUGGUGGUGGAGGAUGGUUGAUGAUGACGAUGGCGAUGGAUUCCCCUCUCCGGAGCCCCGAACGGACUCCAGAUCAGCCCUCCCGAGAGGUUUCAGGGCUUGGCGGUGGCUCCGUAUCGUAAAACGCAAUGAAUCCUUCUCUCUUAUUUUUUUCUCCCCGAACAUGAAUAUAUGGAGUUGGAGUUGAGGUCGGUGGAGCGUCAGGGGGCCCACGAGGCAGGGGGCGCGCCCAGGGGGCAGGCGUACCCCCCACCCUCGUGGACAGGUGGAGGCCCCCCUGACGUGGAUUCUUCUUCCAGUAUUUUAUUAUUUUCCAAAAAUAAGUUCCAUGGAGUUUCAGGUCAUUCCGAGAACUUUUGUUUCUGCACAUAAAUAACACCAUGGCAAUUCUGCUGAAAACAGCGUUAGUCCGGGUUAGUUCCAUUCAAAUCAUGCAAGUUACAGUCCAAAACAAGGGCAAAAGUGUUUGGAAAAGUAGAUACGACGGAGACGCAUCAACUCCCCCAAGCUUAAACCUUUGCUUGUCCUCAAGCAAUUCAGUUGAGAGACUGAAAGUGAUAAAGAAAAACUUUUACAAACUCUGUUUGCUCUUGUUGUUGUAAAUAUGUAAAGCCAGCAUUCAAGUUUUCAGCAAAGAUUAUGAACUAACCAUAUUCACAAUAACUCUUAGGUCUAAUGUUUAGUCAUAUCAAUGGCAUAAUCAACUAGCGAGCAAUAAUAAUAAAUCUCGGAUGACAACACUUUCUCAAAACAAUCAUAAUAUGAUAUAACAGGAUGGUAUCUCGCUAUCCCUUUCUGAGACCGCAAAACAUAAAUGCAGAGCACCUUUAAAGAUCAAGGACUGACUAGACAUUGUAAUUCAUGGUAUAAGAGAUCCAGUCAUAGUCAUACCCAACAUAAAUUAAUAAUAAUGGAUGCAAAUGACAGCAGCGCUCUCCAGCUAGUGCUUUUUAAUAAGAGGGUGAUGACUCGACAUAAAAGUAAAUAGAUAGGCCCUUCGCAGAGGGAAGCAGGGAUUUGUAGAGGUGCCAGAGCUCGAUUUUAAAAUAGAGAUAAAUAAUAUUUUGAGCGACAUACUUUCAUUGUCAACAUAACAACCAAGAGAUGGCGAUAUAUUCCAUGCUACACACAUUAUAGGCGGUUCCCAAACAGAAUGGUAAAGUUUAUACUCCCCCUCCACCAACAAGCAUCAACCCAUGGCUUGCUCGAAACAACGAGUGCCUCCAACUAACAAUAGUCCCGGGGGAGUUUUGUUUGCAACUAUUUUGAUUUAGUUUGCAUAAAGCAUGGGACUGGGCAUCCCGCUGACCAGCCAUUUUCUCGUGAGGAGCGGAGUCCACUCCUCUUGAGAAUAACCCGCCUAACAUGGAAGAUAAGGACAACCCUAGUUGAUACAUGAGCUAUUCUAGCAUAGAAAACAGAAUUUCAUUUGAAGGUUUAGAGUUUGGCACAUACAAAUUUACUUGGAACGGCAGGUAGAUACCGCAUAUAGGAAGGUAUAGUGGACUCAUAUGGAAUAACUUUGGGGUUUAAGGGAUUGGAUGCACAAGCAGUAUUCCCCCUUAGUACAGGUGAAGGCUAGCAAAAGACUGGGAAGCGACCAACUAGAGAGCGACAACAGUCAUGAACAUGCAUAAAAAUUAAUAAACAUUGAGUGCAAGCAUGAGUAGGAUAUAAUCCACCAUGAACAUAAAUAUCGUGAAGGCUAUGUUGAUUUGUUUCAACUACAUGUGUGAACAUGUGCCAAGUCGAGUCACUUAAAUCAUUCAAAGGAGGAUACCACCCCAUCAUACCACAUCACAGCCAUUUUAAUAGCAUGUUGGCACGCAAGGUAAACCAUUAUAACUCAUAGCUAAUCAAGCAUGGCACGAGCAACUAUAAUCUCUAAUUGUCAUUGCAAACAUGUUUCUUCAUAAUAGGCUGAAUCAGGAACGAUGAACUAAUCAUAUUUACAAAAACAAGAGAGGUCGAGUUCAUACCAGCUUCUCUCAUCUCAAUCAGUCCAUCAUAUAUCGUCAUUAUUGUCUUUCACUUGCACGACCGAAUGAUGUGAAAAUAAUAAGAGUGCACGUGCAUUGGACUAAGCUGGAAUCUGCGAGCAUUCAAUAAGCAGGAGAAGACAAGGCAAUAUGGGCUCUUGGUUAAAUCAACAAUAAUGCAUAUAAGAGACACCUCAACAAUUUAAUUAUGGUCUUCUCCUAUCGACCCCCAAAGAAAAGAAAAGAAAUAAAACUAUUUACACGGGAAAGCUCCCAACAAGCAAAAGAAGAACGAGAAAUCUUUUUGGGUUUUCUUUUUAAUUAUUACUACUACAGCAAGAAAGGUAAACUAGCUAAAGCUACACUAUUUUUUUUGUUUUUCUUAAGGUUUAUUAAACACACAAGAAGAAAGCAACAAAAAGGAAAAUAAACUAGCAUGAAUAUUACAGUGAAAGAGUAUGAGCACCGACAACUAGCAAUGAGUGUGUGAACAUGAAUGUAAUGUCGGUGAGAAAUACGUACUCCCCCAAGCUUAGGCUUUUGGCCUAAGUUGGUUUAUUGCCACGGGUGGCCUGGCGGAUAUCCAUAGUUGUAGUUGGGGUCGUACUGAGAUGCAGCGGUCAUUGCAUCGUGUGGUGCAGCUUGGAGGCGAGCUAUCUCAGCCCUCCUCUUAUACUCAUCCGCCUCCUCUCUGGUUAUAAAAUGUCUCCCUUUUGCCUGAAAGUCAAAGAAAGCAGAAGCAGGAAGAGCGACUCGAUAGGUGCGUCGUCUAUCAAAGAUUAGUCGGUACUGGAGAGGUUGUUCAUUUCUCUCAAUAAACUGAUGACGAACCAUAGCCUCAUAAUCUAAAUAAGUAGGAGGCAACUCAAUAUCAUCCUCAUGUAUGUCUACACCAAGAAAAUUAGCUAAACGAGUUGCAUAAAUUCCACCAAAGAAAUCUCCAUUAAAUCUAUUAUGAUGCAACCUUCGUGCAACAAUGGCUCCCAAAUUAUAAGAUUUAUCUCCUAACACAACGCUCCUAAGAAUACUGAGGUCGGGGACACACAUGUGACAUGCUUCAUCCUUACCAUUUAUGCACCUACCUAUGAAGAGAGCAAAAUAAUGUAUAGCAGGAAAAUGAAUGCUCCCUAUGGUAGCUUGUGCUAUAUCUCUAGAUUCCCCCACAGUUAUACUAGCAAGAAAUUCUCUAAAUUCAGAUUUGCGGGGUUCACUAGUACUACCCCAUUGUGGAAGUUUGCAAGCAGUGGUAAAAUCCUCUAAGUCCAUAGUGUAAGAUUUUUCAUAGAGAUCAAAUAGGACAGUUUGAGAAUUAUGUGAAGAUGAAUAUUCAAACCUCCUCACAAAUGAACUAGUGAGAUAGUGGUACUGGCUGCACUUUUCUCCCUCGAAGCUCACAAGAUCAGCAUUACGCAAAUACGCGUUAAAUUCUUCCUUGAUUCCCGCUCGAUCCAUAAAGCCUUCUGAAGGCCAUUCACAAGGCCGCACUAGAGCGUUCCUUGGUGGCUCAUCAUCGGCAUCGCGCAUUGCGAGCCUAGGUCCUUGCUUCCUUGAAGGACCACCUUGGUAAAUUUUCCUAAGCAUAUUCUUCCUCUGAAAAAUUUCUGAAAUUUUUAGUAACUUCAAAUAAAAGAGAACCAAGCUCCACAAAAUUGAUAGAAACUACUCCUACAAGUGCCUAGAGCCUAUAUCAUGCAUUAGAACUACUUGGAACCAUAUAAAUUUGACAUGCAAGCUCAAGAACAUGGUCACCUAGGCAGCACAAAUUUGCAAUGAAUAAAGCACUAGAACAAAAACUAAUUGGACCAAUGGAGGAGUCACAUACCAAGGAACAAUCUCCCCAAGCAGUUUUGUGAGAGGUGCUUUGAGCAAGGAGAUCAAAAAUCGUAGCAAAAUGAGCUAGAACUCGUGCUUGAGCUGGAUGGUGAUUUUUUUCGGAGGAAGAAGAAGUGUGUGGUGGCUGGCAUAAGUGGAGGGGGGCCACCGUGGGCCCACGAGGCAGGGGGCGCGCCCAGGGGGUGGGCGCGCCCUGGACCCUCGUGGCCAGGUGCUUGCUCCCCCUGCUGUGUUCUCAGUGCCAGAUAUUCUCAAAUAUUCCAGAAAAAAUCAUAUUCCAUUUUCAGGGCAUUUGGAGAACUUUUAUUUUCGGGGUAUUUUUAUAUUGCACGGAUAAUUCAGAAAACAGACAGAUAAAUACUAUUUUUGCUUUAUUUCAACUAAAUAACAGAAAGUAAAAGGAGCGUACAGAAGGUUGUGCUUUCUAGUUUCAUCCAUCUCAUGCUCAUCAAAAGGAAUCCACUAACAAGGUUGAUCAGGUCUUGUUAACAAACCCAUUCCGAAUAACAUGGAACCGGAGAAAUUUCGAAUAACACUAUGUUACCUCAACGGGGAUAUGCACAUCCCCAAUAAUAACAAUAUCAUAUUUCUUCUUGACAGUAGGAAGAGGAAAUUCAAAACCUCCAAAAAUAAUCGAUGGAAUUUUUCCAAUAGAGUUGAUACUAUGAACUGGAGGUUGUUUCCUCGGAAAGUGUACCGUAUGCUCAUUACCAUUAACGUGAAAAGUGACAUUGCCUUUGUUGCAAUCAAUAACAGCCCCUGCAGUAUUCAAAAAGGUCUUCCAAGAAUAAUAGACAUACUAUCGUCCUCAGGAAUAUCAAGAAUAACAAAGUCUGUUAAAAUAGUAACGUUUGCAGCCACAACAGGCACAUCCUCACAAAUACCGACAGGUAUAGCAGUUGAUUUAUCAGCCAUGUGUAAAGAUAUUUCAGUAGGUUUCAACUUAUUCAAAUCAAGUCUACGAUAUAAAGAGAGAGGCAUAACACUAACACCGGCUCUAAGAUCACAUAAAGCAGUUUUAACAUAAUUUCUUUUAAUGGAGCAUGGUAUAGUGGGUACUCCUGGAUCUCCAAGUUUCUUUGGUAUUCCACCCUUAAAAGUAUAAUUAGCAAGCAUGGUGGAAAUUUCAGCUUCCGGUAUCUUUCUUUUAUUUGUGAUAAUGUCCUUCAUAUACUUAGCAUAAGGAUUCGUUUUGAGCAUAUCAAUUAAUCGCAUACGCAAAAAGAUAGGUCUAAUCAUUUCAGCAAAGCACUCAAAAUCCUCAUCAUCCUUUUUCUUGGAUGGUUUGGGAGGAAAAGGCAUGGGUUUCUGAACCCAUGGUUCUCUUUCUUUACCGUGCUUCCUAGCAACAAAGUCUCUCUUAUCAUAACAUUGAUUCUUUGAUUGUGGGUUAUCAAGAUCAACUGCAGGUUCAAUUUCUACAUCAUUAUCAUUGCUAGGUUGAGCAUCAUCAUGAACAUCUUUAUUAAUAUUAUCACUAGACUCAUGUUCGUUACCAGAUUGUGUUUCAGCAUCAGAAAUAGAAAUAUCAUUUUGAUUCUCAGGUGUUUCAGCAAUAGGUUCACUAGAAGCAUGCAAAGUCCUAUCAUUUUUCUUUUUCUUCUUUUUAGAAGGACUAGGUGCAUCUAUAUUAUUUCUCUGAGAAUCUUGCUCAAUUCUCUUAGGAUGGACUUCAGGAUACAAAGGUUCCUGAGUCAUUUUACCAGUUCUAGUAGCCACUCUAACAGCAUAAUCAUUAUUCUUACUAUUUAAUUCAUUGAGCAAAUCAUUUUGAGCUUUAAGUACUUGUUCUACUUGAGUGGUAACCAUAGAAGCAUGUUUACUAAUGAGUUUAAGUUCACCUUUAACAUUAGCCAUGUAAUUACUCAAGUGUUCAAUCGUAUAAGCAUUUUGUUUUAGUUGUCUACCAAAAUAAGCAUUGAAGUCUUCUUGCUUAACCAUAAAGUUAUCAAACUCAUCCAGACAAUGGCUAGCAAUUUUAGUAGGAGGGAUUUCAGCUUUAUCAUAUCUAUAGAGAGAAUUUACCUUUACUACCUGUGUCAGUUUUCAAGACCGUGAGUUUCUUCAAUAGGUGAAGGAUUAAGAUCAUAUGUUUCUUCAACAGGCGGUAAAUUAAGACCAUGUAUUUCUUCAAUAGGAGGUAAAUUCUUAACAUCUUCAGCUUUAAUACCUUUUUCUUUCAUAGAUUUCUUUGCCUCUUGCAUAUCUUCAGGACUGAGAAAUAGAACACCCCUCUUCUUCGGAGUUGGUUUAGGAAUAGGCUCAGGAGUUGGCUCAGGAAGUGUCCAAUUAUUUUCAUUUGUCAACAUAUUAUUCAAUAAAAUUUCAGCUUCAUCCGCUGUUCUUUCCUUGAAAACAGAACCAGCACAACUAUCCAGGUAAUCUCUGGAAGCAUCGGUUAGUCCAUUAUAAAAGAUAUCAAGUAUUUCAUUUUUAUUAAGAGGAUGAUCAUGCAUAGCAUUAAGUAAUUGGAGAAGCCUCCCCCAAGCUUGUGGGAGACUCUCUUCUUCAAUUUGCACAAAAUUAUAUAUGUCCCUUAAAGCAGCUUGUUUCUUAUGAGCAGGGAAAUAUUUAGCAGAGAAGUAAUAAAUCAUAUCCUGGGGACUACGCACACAACCAGGAUCAAGAGAAUUAAACCAUAUCUUAGCAUCACCCUUUAAUGAGAAUGGAAAUAUUUUAAGGAUAUAAAGGUAGCGGGUUCUCUCAUCAUUAGUGAACAGGGUGGCUAUAUCAUUUAAUUUAGUAAGAUGUGCCACAACAGUUUCAGAUUCAUAGCCAUAAAAUGGAUCAGAUUCAACCAAAGUAAUUAUAUCAGGAUCAACAGAGAAUUCAUAAUCCUUAUCAGUAACACAGAUAGGUGAAGUAGCAAAAGCAGGGUCAGGUUUCAUUCUAGCAUUAAGAGAUCGCUGCUUCCAUUUAGCUAAUAAUUUCUUAAGAUCACUUCUAUCAUUGCAAGCAAGAAUGGCUCUAGCAGAUUCUUCAUCCAGAACAUAACCCUCAGGCACAACAGGUAAUUCAUAUUUAUUAGGGGGAGAGUCUUCAUCAUCACUAUCUUCAAUAUUAUCAGUUUCAAUAAUUUCAUUCUCUCUAGCCCUAGCAAGUUGUUCAUCAAGAAAUUCACCAAGUGGCACAGUAGUAUCAGGCAUAGAAGUAGUUUCAUCAUAAGUAUCAUGCAUAGCAGAAGUGGCAUCAUCAAUAACAUGCGACAUAUCAGAAUGAAUAGUAGAAGCAGGUUUAGGUGUCGCAAGCUUACUCAAAACAGAAGGUGAAUCAAGUGCAGAGCUAGAUGGCAGUUCCUUACCUCCCCUCGUAGUUGAGGGAUAAAUUUUUGUUUUUGCGUCUUUCAAGUUCUUCAUAGUGACCAGCAGAUAUAAAUCCCAAGUGACUCAAAGAAUAGAGCUAUGCUCCCCGGCAACGGCGCCAGAAAAUAGUCUUGAUAACCCACAAGUAUAGGGGAUCGCAACAGUUUUCGAGGGUAGAGUAUUCAACCCAAAUUUAUUGAUUCGACACAAGGGGAGCCAAAGAAUAUUCUCAAGUAUUAGCAGUUGAGUUGUCAAUUCAACCACACCUGGAUAACUUAGUAUCUACAGCAAAGUAUUUAGUAGCAAAGUAAUAUGAUAGUAGUGGUAACGGUAACAAAAGUAACAGUAGCAAAAGUAAUAUUUUUGGUGUUUUGUAGUGAUUGUAACAGUAGCAACGGAAAAGUAAAUAAGCGAGAACAGUAUGUGAAAAGCUCGUAGGCAUUGGAUCGGUGAUGGAGAAUUAUACCGGAUGCGGUUCAUCAUGUAACAGUCAUAACAUAGGGUGACACAGAACUAGCUCCAAUUCAUCAAUGUAAUGUAGGCAUGUAUUCCGAGUAUAGUCAUACGUGCUUAUGGAAAAGAACUUGCAUGACAUCUUUUGUCCUACCCUCCCGUGGCAGCGGGGUCCUAGCAGAAACUAAGGGAUAUUAAGGCCUCCUUUUAAUAGAGUACCGGACCAAAGUAUUAACACAUAGUGAAUACAUGAACUCCUCAAACUAUGGUCAUCACCGGAGUGGUCCCGAUUAUUGUCACUUCGGGGUUGCCGGAUCAUAACACAUAGUAGGUGACUAUAGACUUGCAAGAUAGGAUCAAGAACUCACAUAUAUUCGUGAAAACAUAAUAGGUUCAGAUCUGAAAUCAUGGCACUUGGGCCCUAGUGACAAGCAUUAAGCAUAGCAAAGUCAUAGCAACAUCAAUCUCAGAACAUAGUGGAUACUAGGGAUCAAACCCUAACAAAACUAACUCGAUUACAUGAUAGAUCUCAUCCAACCCAUCACCGUCCAGGAAGCCUACGAUGGAAUUACUCACGCACAGCGGUGAGCAUCAUGAAAUUGGUGAUGGAGGAUGGUUGAUGAUGAUGAUGGCGACGGAUUCCCCUCUCCGGAGCCCCGAACGGACUCCAGAUUAGACCUCCUGAGAGGUUUUAGGGCUUGGCGGCGGCUCCAUAUCGUAAAACGCGAUGAAUCCUUCUCUCUUAUUUUUUUCUCCCUGAACACGAAUAUAUGGAGUUGGAGUUGAGGUCGGUGGAGCGUCAGGGGGCCCACGAGGCAGGGGGGCGCGCCCCCCACCCUCGUGGACAGGUGGAGGCCCCCCUGGCGUGGAUUCUUCUUCCAGUAUUAUUUUCCAAAAAUAAGUUCCAUGGAGUUUCAGGUCAUUCCGAGAACUUUUGUUUCUGCACAUAAAUAACACCAUGGCAAUUCUGCUGAAAACAGCGUCAGUCCGGGUUAGUUCCAUUCAAACCAUGCAAGUUAGAGUCCAAAACAAGGGCAAAAGUGUUUGGAAAAGUAGACGACGGAGACAGGAUGCCUCCCUACUCACCUCAGUCAAAUGGGGUAGCCGAAAGAAAGAACCGAACUCUAACUCAUAUGGUUAACACCAUGUUAGACACAUGAGGUCUUUCCAAGGAAUGGUGGGGGGAGACGCUCAUGACUGCGUGUCAUGUCCUAAACCGAGUUCCCACAAAGCAUAAGACCAUGACUCCAUUUGAGGAAUGGGAAAGGAAAAGAUUGAAACUCUCUUACCUACGUACUUGGGGUUGUUUGGCGAAAGUCAAUAUACCAAUUCCCAAGAAGUGCAAGCUUGGACCAAAAAACGUGGAUUGUGUUCUUAUGGGCUAUGCUUUUCAUACCGUUGGCUAUAGAUUUUUGAUAAUAAAAUUUGAGGUAUCCGACAUGCAUGUUGGUACGAUUAUGGAGUCGAAUGAUGCGACUUUCUUUGAGGACAUAUUUCCUAUGAAGGAUAUGUCGAGUUCAUCAAACCGGGAGAUACCUACCCCAUCUAGUGAGGAAUUUGCUGUAAUUCCAGAACCCACCAUUGCGAUGGAACACGUUGAGAAUCCUAUUGAGGGUUAUAAUGGAACUCCCGUGAGGAGUAAGAGACAGAGGACUGCAAAGUCCUUUGGUGAUGAUUUCAUUGUGUACCUUGUGGAUGACACACCCAGGACUAUUUCAGAAGCCUAUGCAUCUCCUGAUGCUGACUACUGGAAGGAAGCCGUUCGUAGCGAGAUGGAUUCCAUCUUAGCUAACGGAACCUGGGAGAUCACUGAUCGUCCUUAUGGGUGCAAACUUGUAGGAUGUAAGUGGGUGUUCAAUAAGAAGCUUAGACCUGAUGGUACGAUUGAAAAGUACAAGGCACGACUUGUGGCUAAGGGUUAUACCCAGAAAGAAGGUGAAGACUUCUUUGAUACUUACUCACCCGUGGCUACACUGACCACAAUUCGGGUGCUACUAUCACUGGCUGCCUCACAUGGUCUUCUCGUUCAUCAAAUGGACGUUAAGACGGCUUUCCUCAAUGGAGAGUUGAAGGAGGAGAUUUACAUGGAUCAGCCAGAUGGUUUUGUAGUACCUGGUCAGGAAGGAAAGGUGUGCAAGUUAUUAAAGUCUUUAUAUGGCCUUAAACAAGCUCCUAAGGAGUGGCAUGAGAAGUUCGAAAGAACAUUAACUGCUGCCAGCUUUGUAGUAAAUGAUGGUGACAAGUGUGGGUACUAUCGCCAUGGUGGGGGCGAAGGAGUUAUUCUUUGUCUGUAUGUCGACGACAUAUUGAUCUUUGGAACCAAACUUGAUUUAAUCAAGGAGGUUAAGGAUUUCUUAUCUCGCUGUUUUGAGAUGAAGGAUCUAGGAGUAGCUGAUGUUAUCUUAAACAUCAAGCUGUUGAGAGAUGAGAAUGGUGGGAUCACACUGCUUCAGUCUCACUAUGUGGAAAAGGUCUUGAGUCGUUUUGGGUAUAGCGACUGCACGCCUUCUCCAACUCCAUAUGAUGCUAGUGUGUUGCUUCGAAAGAAUCGACGGAUUGCUAGAGAUCAACUGAGGUAUUCUCAGAUUAUUGGCUCGCUUAUGUAUUCGGCGAGUGCCACGAGGCCUAACAUCUCGUUUGCUGUUAGCAAGCUGAGUCGGUUUGUGUCAAAACUGGGAGAUGAUCAUUGGCAUGCGCUUGAGAGAGUUAUGCGCUAUUUGAAAGGCACUGCGAGCUAUGGGAUUCACUACACCGGGUAUCCAAGGGUACUAGAGGGUUAUAGUGAUUCAAACUGGAUAUCUGAUGCUAAUGAGAUUAAGGCCACAAGUGGUUAUGUUUUUACACUUGGUGGUGGCGCUGUUUCCUGGAAGUCUUGCAAGCAGACCAUCUUAACGAGGUCAACUAUGGAAGCAGAACUCACAGCAUUAGACACUGCCACUGUUGAAGCAGAGUGGCUUCGUGAGCUCUUGAUGGACUUGCCUAUGGUUGAAAAACCAAUACCCCCUAUCCUGAUGAACUGUGAUAAUCAAACUGUGAUCGUCAAGAUAAACAGUUCUAAGGACAAUAUGAAGUCCUCAAGGCAUGUGAAGAGGAGACUAAAAUCUGUCAGAAAAUUGAGGAACUCCAGAGUUAUUAUGUUGGAUUAUAUCCAUACGUUGAAAAAUUUGGCAGAUCCCUUCACAAAGGGUCUAUCACGUAAUGUGAUAGAUAAUGCAUCGAUGGAGAUGGGUCUGAGACCCACCGCAUGAGUUGUCCAUAGUGGUAACCCACUCUAUGUGAUCGGAGAUCCCGUGAAGUAGAAGUGGGAGACAAGCUGUUGGUCAGCUGAGAGGAGAGUAUCCCUAUAAUAAUUAUCCCACUCCGUGAAGAUGCAAUACUCUCCUGAUCUGCAUGGCAGGUUGAUACUUAUCUUAAUGUGUUCCAAGCAGAGAUGUUGUCCUGCAGAACAUCUCCUGAGGAACACACCUAUAUGAAUUUGACUGUUAAACGUCACAGUCUGUGAGAAUUGGGUGUUCUCUAAUAAAUUCAUGAAAGGCCCUGGAGUAUGACGUAUACGCUCCACCCGCGGGGAAGCCUUGUGGCAGCCCAGUAUCGGUCAAGAAUUUGUGUGAAACUAGUCUCGCAGAAAACUUGUAGUUCAAGGCAUAGUCCACUAUUCAAGUUGUGAUCUAGUGUAGCAUAAAUCUCUAAGUGGAAGUUCAACUUCACAGUCUCCACUAAGCACCGGUAUAUAAAAAAUGUUUUGGAACUAAAUGAUGAGAUGUGCCAAUGGGACUUUGUGGGGGAUUGUUGGAAUUUUGCUAGUAGGCCUUUGGCCCAAAGCCCAACUAAAAUUCUGAAAUUCUCUUGGCCCAUUCAUGCACACAUGUGAGUGGAGUGAGUGAGGCUAAAGUUUAGUCCCACCUCAUAAGUUGAGAGAGAGUUGCACCUCUUUAUAAGGUGAGCUCUUCUACCACUCGUAUGAGCAUGAGAAGAGGAGACCUACACGCGCGCUCCUCCUCCUCGCUCGCCUCGCCACGCCACGCCUCGUCACGACGCGUCGCGGGUUGCGGGAUUGAGCCGGGCCGAGGACAGAGCUAUGCACGUUGUCUAUAUUUUUGCUGCACGGGAAAAAUUAAUGAGUCAUUAAUUAAUAAUUAACAGACGCAUUAAUUACUGAACCAUUUCCGAUUCUUUUGGAUCGUGACGACUCAGACGUGGGGUUUACUCCCACGACCUACCUGGCCCGCACUAUAUACUCAGUCAGAUGUCUACCCUAGCCGUCGCUUCGUAUGGUUUCUCACCACCAUUCCAAAUCAUUGCGCCGCCAAGCAAGUCUUCUCCAUACCUCCUUUCGGCGUGCACCGGGAGAAGGGACAGCAGGCCUCCGGAACCCCGCCUCUCGUGAUCCUGUACGGGAGAGGGGCGAUCAGGUUUUUGGGGAGCGCACUCGCGCGACUGCUGGCAGCGAUGACUUCGCGAACGAUGACUUCUUCCCCGACCUCGGCAACCUCAUCCUCGACGACAUGGGUGACAACGUCAACGCCGGCGGUGCUGCACCGUAUGUGAUUCUAUCCUUCCUAUUCGAGAUCGUGGUAGAAUUCAUGUUUCUAGUAUGUGCCCUAGAUGUGAUCUGUUCAUCUGCUAUGCUAGUUCGCAUGAUUAGUUUAAUCUCUGCUACUGUAGUCAUGAUUUAUCUUCUGUUUAUUCGGAUUAAAUCUCGUAGUAAUUUGCUCAUAUUUCCAACAAUCCAAAAACCUGAUUAUAGGAAAUUUACUCCGAGUGGUUUUGCUGCACAUCUGAAGCUGCCUGCCUUUAAGGGGCACAAUAUAAGAGGUGGCGCACGAGAGCAGUCUACUGGUUUCAAACCAUGGGCUGCUAUGACGCCACCAAGGGCAAGCCUGAGGGCGAUCUUAAUCCAGCACAACUGGAAGCUUUUGAGAAGAUCGAUACUCUCUUUAAAGGCGCUCUUCUGAGUGUUCUGGAUGAUUCCAUUGUGGAUUCGUAUAUGUCGUUUGAAAAUGGCAAGGACAUGUGGGCCCCACAAUGACACCUGGGCCCCACAACCCAGUUUUGACCAGUCAACCCAGUCAAUGUUGAUUGUUGACCCGCUGGCUCAGCACCGUACUGGCCCCACUUUCAUAUACAUAGGCUAGGAUGACACUAGGUAACAAAAGUUUUUGCUGAUUUAUUUUUGAAUUAAUAGAAUUCCAUAAAUUUUUAGAAUAUUGUUAAAUCUUUGAAAAAUCAUAGAAAAUAAUCCGUUACUCGGAUGAAAAUGUUUUAUACAUGAAAGUUGCUCAGAACAACAAGAUGAAUCGGAAUACGCUCUCCGUUCAUCUGUCACAUGCCCCUAGCAUAGCGAACAUCCAACUUUUCCCCUCUGGUUCGUCUGUCCGAAAAUGCCUAACUCCGGGAAAACUUCCCGGAUGUUUUUCCCCUUCGCCGGUAUCGUGUAGCACCGCGUUAGAACACCCCUAGCCCUGCGUGUUACCGCUGUCAUGCAUCUGUGUUGCAUCUAUUUGCAUUAUAUUUACUGUUUCUUCCCCCUCUUCUCUCCGGUAGACCCCGAGACUGCCGCUGAUGCCCCUGUGAUUGACUACGUCGACAAUGACCCUUCUUCCCUUUUAGUGGAGCUUCCAGGCAAGCCCCGCUUUGAUCAUCCCAAUAUCGCCCAUUCUCUCAUGCUUGCAUUAGAUUUUGCUACUGUUAUUGAUUACUCCUAUUCUGAUGCAUAGCCUGCUUUUGUAUCUGCUAUUGUUACCUACCUGCUUAUCCUAAACUGCUUAGUAUAGGUUGGUUAGUGAUCCAUCAGUGACCCCACCUUGUCCUUGUUGCCCCUGCUUCAUCAUCGAUGACUCGAUCAACGUGAUCGACGACCAGAGCCCGACACCUCACAUCACAUCACACCCUUUUUGUUGCUCGACCCUGCAGAGCUACUAUCGAGUGCCGAGGGUGAUCCCUCAUAACGCACUCCUGAUGAUAAUUCUGUAGUGUAGCUAUUCGAUCGUGGUCAUCGAGGGUGAUUUCCUCUUUCACCAUUCCCGAUAUAGCUCUGUCGUGCAACACCUCAAGUGUGAACCUCGAGGGUGGUCCCUCUUACGUUCACCUUGAUGAUUACCUUGAGUGGAAUCCACCGGGGGUGAUUCCUCGGGUUUUCCCCUUGAUUUCUGGACACACGGUUACCUUGACUUUACUUGAGACAUUGGUGAAAGUCGGGCGGGCCCGGAGAGCACCCGUGCGAUGUGACUGUGGCGGCUGGCUGUUUAGCGGUAUCACCCAGGAGAGGGUGAUAGCUCCAGACUUGUCCCGACAGCCGUCACUUCUUUUAAUAAUGCACUAACAGGUUUGGGUAUUUGUUCUGAAUUGGCCUUUGGCCUUUAUGCACUAACCACCAUGCGAGAAUAGAUAUGGGCCUCGACAUCGCAGUAUCAGUCGAAGCUUUGUCAGACGUCCAGUCCAGCAUUGUGGCACGGUCGGAUCGUGCUGGCCAUCCGAGGCGGUGCUGGUAUCCACCCUGCACACAACGACCCGGAGUGCUUAGGAUGUAGACCGCGGGGACCUCUCUGCUGAGCCUAGGUAGGGUUGCGACGUGUUGAUCUUCCGAGGCCGGGCAUGACCCAAGAAAGUGUGUCCGGCCAGAGUGAUCGAGCGUGUUGGAAAACAUGGUGCACCCCUGCAGGGAAGAUAUAUAUUCGAAUACCGUGUCCAUGGUAAUGGACGUUCAGACUUGUAUCCUGAUCUUAUACAACUAGAAAUGGAUACUUGAUAUGUGAUGGAUAUGUGGCCCCGGGAUUGCUUUCUCGUAGGGAGUCGAGGAAGGAUCUCUGGGCAUUAAUUCUACGACAUGCUUGUUAAUUAUAAACUGCUAUUCUUUACUAUUCUACAUGCUGCAAGAUGCUUGGAGCUGCUUGAAGAUGCUAGUCUUUGAUAGGCUAGGCCUUCCCCUCUAUUCUGGCAUUCUGCAGUUCAGUCCACAGAUACAACCCUUCCAUUUGAUACCAAUGCAUACUUAGUAUAGUUCUAAUGCUUGCGAGUACUUUGGAUGAGUACUCACGGUUGCUUUGCUCCCCCCUUUUCCCCCCUUCUUUCUUCUUUCUGGUUGUUGCAACCAGAUGGUGGAUCCCAGGAGCCAGAUGCCACCCCAGUCGACUACUACUACCACCCUGAGGGUGCCUACUACUACGUGGAGCCCGCCGACGACCAGGAGUAGUUAGGAGGUCCCAGGCAGGAGGCCUUGCCUCUUCGAUCGUUGAUGUUUGUGCUAGCCUUCUUAAGGCAAAACUUGUUUAACUUAUGUCUGUACUCAGAUAUUGUUGCUUCCGCUGACUCUUGUGUAUCGAGCUAUCUAUUCGAGCCCUCGAGGCCCCUAGCUUGUAAUAUGAAGCUUGUAUGACUUUUCAAUUUGUGUUUAGAGUUGUGUUGUGAUAUCCUCCCGUGAGUCCCUGAUCUUGAUCGUACACGUUUGCGUGCAUGAUUAGUGUAUAGUCGAGUCGGGGGCGUCACAAGUUGGUUUCAGAGCCGACUGCCUGUAGGAACCCCCUUUCCAACUCCUUGGCCGAAGUUGAGUCUAGUCUUUGAAAAACUAUUCUACUAACAUGGCUGUGUGGCUUACGGGCCCACGUCGCCAUUAGGUGGUUUUAGGAUCUUUUACUCCUCGUCUAUACUCUGGGACUCUGAUCUCUCCUCUAUUCGGGUUAAAUGAUUUGCUAACUCUAACAUUAGGUUCUCGUGAUCACAUCCACCCGGAGGUUUGUGUUACCCCUUUCUCGAAUUGAGGGCCAGGAUCUGCUUUCACUGAUCGCGGGAUCCUCAUAUCAAGGGCACCCUACAUCGUCACUUGCAAAUCCCUCGUCCCAGAGGUUUUCCCCGAUGUUGAUGUAGCCUUUGCUAUGUCCCAUUGUUGUAUCCCUCCAUUGCGUGCAUGCGUGCCGCCUAGUAUGUCUAGGAUGUUUCUCUUGUCCGAACUCAUACGAGCAGCGUAUAAUUGGCUCUAUAUAUAUCAGUAUGUCUUCAAUGACUACUUCUUUGUACAUACUGCGCCUUUGCUCACUGUUCAAGUUACAUCUUGAAUAACUCCAUACACUUGCUCCACCCCUUGCUAAACUACCCCUGUUGCAUUUAAGCAAGAUGGUUAGAUCCGCUGGUUGUGGCCACCAAAAUACAUGGCCGAAAUGAUACAGCAGUUUGAUGCUGAAUCGCCAGUUCAUGGAAGGGGUCAUGGCUUUUCCCACGCCCCAAUAUGAAUCGGCAACCAGCCCCGGUAACAUUGCAUUACUUUGCGCACCUCAACCCUGUCAUCUACCGCAGCUAAACUCAGCCCCUUGAUGCUGAUGACUGGCUCCAUGACAUCACUUUUGAGUUGGAGUCUACUGAUAUAGCCCCUUUCAACUAUGUCACCUUCAUGGUUUAUUACCUGAAAGGUCCUGCUGCUCAAUGGUGGAACAACCACAUGCGUUCCUUACCUGUUGGAACUGUCAUCACUUGGCGGAAUUCCAAGCUGCAUUCCGCGGGCCAAUGUCGAACCACCAUGGUUAGUCACAACGUCCCCGUUGAAAUUGAAUGAUGGUAAACACACACCGCUUCAAUCAUUUGCGACACUAAAAUCGUCCAUCUACUCCAUCCUUCAAGUGAAAUAGUAAGCUACCAUGCUCAUCUUGUUCGAAAUGCCGAAGCACAGAUUUAUCCCUUGAAUGCGUUAAAAGCUUCUCCUCUUGGGAGAAUUGAUAACACUCUAGUCGUUUGGGAAUUUCAAGAUAUCUUUCCAAAAGAAUACCCAAUCCAUAACCUUGAACUUGUUGCAGUUAAAUUUGCACUGAAGUUGUGGCGACUUUUCCUUCUUGGUAAUCAUUGCGAGAUCUUCACUGAUCAUUAAAGUCCGUAGUAUCUGUUUACUCAGCUAGAUCUGGAUCUCCGUCAGCAGUGAUGUAUGGAAACAAUUACAGACUAUGACUAGGUAUUUCUUAUACCCGUGGCAAGGCUAGUGUCAUAGCCAAUGCCCUGAGUCGCAAGUCAUAUUGCAACAACCACCUGGCUUGUAAAUCUCAACCCCGGCAAGAUGAUCUCGCUUAUAGAGAGCAUCUGAUCCGCGUUCUCGUUCAAGCUGAACGUCGCACCCGUCUGAGGGAUAUCAAUUUUUUUUAAGUUCAGUGGUCAAAUCAUUCUAAAGAUGAAGCCACUUGGGAUCGCACGGAUCAUCUUCGUGAUGAAUACCCCGCUUUGUUUCCGUCUACCUCCUAAAUCUCGGGACGAGAUUUCUUGUAGUGAAGGAGAAUUGUAACGUCCCCUCUCCCACUCGCCCACUUGCCCCCUCUCUCCCUCGUCGCCCUUUCUCCCCCCAAAUCCACUCCUCUCUUUCCUCUCGCCCUUCUCCACCCGAGCGCCUCCUGUCACCGCCGCUGCGUUGUCGUCACCACGACCAACGAGCUCUCCGCCGUGGAAGAACCUACCAGGAGCCUCGCCUCGCUCGUCCACACCGUCCUCGCCCGCAAGCUCGAGCCGCGGAGGUCGUCACCGUCGGAUCGGGCAUCUUCCCCGUUUCGGCCGCCGUCGUUCCGCCUCCUCCAGUCCUCCCCGAGCCUCUCCGGCUCGUCCCCGGCCUCCCCGAGAACGCCAUCUGCUCCGUGGUGAGCUCCUCUCCCCAUCCCCCUCUUUUCCUUGCUCGAUCCGUCGCCGUAUCGUCGUCCUCGCGAGCCUGGCUGCCAUGGCCGACGCUUUGCGUCCGAGCGCAAGCUUGCCUGCCCAUCCCCGCGCCUCUGCUCCUCGCAGCGCACCCGCAGCCGCUCCUGGUCGCGCCCUGCCUUGCGCCCAGUUGCGCCUAGGCGCACGCGUCCGCCCCCUCGUUGCCGCGCUCCUGGCCGCCCCUGCGAGCCGCCGCUGCUGCCUCUUGUACUGCUGCUCGCCGCCUACGCUGGCAGCUCCCUUGCUCCUGCAAUUGCCACGCUGCUGUUGGUGCUACCUUGCCGCUGCUAUUGCUGGCUGUGCUGGUGCUGCUACUUAGCUACUGCCGCUGCUCCUUGCCGCUGCGGCUACUCCAUACUACUGCAGCGCUGCUGCUCCUGGACAUGGCCGUCGUGGCCUAUGUGCCGUGCAUGCUGCCCCUGGUUUGCCUAGUCAAACGAAUGGCUUGAGCCACUACCAAACGGGCCGACCAUUAGACUAGGAUUAGUCUUACUUAACUAACCUAAAACAGAUAUUAGUACCUACAUAGAGUAUGACUUAUGGGCCCCACCACUAACUAGACUAAAUAAACAAUAUGUUAAAAAAUGACCCAAUGACACCUGGGCCCCACAACCCAGUUUUGACCAGUCAACCUAGUCAAUGUUGACUGUUGACCCCGCUGACUCAGCACCGUACUGGCCCCACUAUCAUAUACAUAGGAUAGGAUGACACUAGGUAACAAAAGUUUUUACUGAUUUAUUUUCGAAUUAAUAGAAUUCCAUAAAUUUUCAUAAUAUUGUUAAAUCUUUGAAAAAUCAUAGAAAAUAAUCCGUUACUCGGAUGAAAAUGUUUUAUACAUGAAAGUUGCUCAGAACAACAAGAUGAAUCGGAAUACGCUCUCCGUUCAUCUGUCACAUGCCCCUAGCAUAGCAAACAUCCAACUUUUCCCCUCUGGUUCGUCUGUCCGAAAAUGCCUAACUCCGGGAAGACUUCCUGGAUGUUUUUCCCCUUCGCCGGUAUCGUGUAGCACCGUGUUAGAACACCCCUAGCCCUGCGUGUUACCGCCGUCAUGCAUCUGUGUUGCAUCUGUUUGCAUUAUAUUUACUGUUUCUUCCCCCUCUUCUCUCCGGUAGACCCCGAGACCGCUGUUGAUGCCCCUGUGAUCGACUACGUCGACGACGACCCUUCUUCCCUUUCAGUGGAGCUUCCAGGCAAGCCCCCCUUUGAUCAUCCCGAUAUCGCCCAUUACAUUCUCUCAUGCUUGCAUUAUAUUUUGCUACUGUUAUUGAUUGCUCCUAUUCUGAUGCAUAGCCUGCUUUUGUAUCUGCUAUUGUUACCUACCUGCUUAUCCUAAACUGCUUAGUAUAGGUUGGUUAGUGAUCCAUCAGUGACCCCACCUUGUCCUUGUUGCCCCUGCUUCAUCAUCGACGACUCGAUCAACGUGAUCGACGACCAGAGCCCGACACCUCACAUCACAUCACGCCCCUUUUGUUGCUCGACCCUGCAGAGCUACUAUCGAGUGCCGAGGGUGAUCCCUCAUAACGCACUCCUGAUGAUAAUUCUCUAGUGUAGUUAUUCGGUCGUGGUCAUCGAGGGUGAUUUCCUCUUUCACCAUUCCCGAUACGGCUCUGUCGUGCAACACCUCAAGUGUGAACCUCGAGGGUGGUCCCUCUUACGUUCACCUUGAUGAUUACAUUGAGUGGAAUCCACCGGGGGUGAUUCCUCGGGUUUUCCCCUUGAUGUCUGGACACACGGUUACCUUGACUUUACUUGAGACAUUGGUGAAAGUCGGGCGGGCCCGGAGAGCACCCGUGCGAUGUGACGGUGGCGGCUGCCUAUUUAGCGGUAUCAGCCAGGAGGGGGUGACAGCUUAGGACUUGUCCCGACAGCCGUCACUUCUUUUAAUAAUGCACUAACAGGUUUGGGUAUUUGUACUGAAUUGGCCUUUCGCCUUUACGCACUAACCACCACGCGAGAAUAGAUAUGGGCCUCGAUGUCGCAGUAUCAGCCGAAGCUUUGUCGGACGUCCAGUUUAGCAUUGUGGCACGGUCGGAUCGUGCUGUCCAUCUGAGGCGGUGCUGGUAUCCACCCUGCACACAACGACCCGGAGUGCUUAGGAUGUAGACCGGCGGGGACCUCUCUGCUGAGCCUAGGUAGUGUUAUGACGUGUUGAUCUUCCGAGGCCGGGCAUGACCCAGGAAAGUGUGUCCAGCCCCGAGCUGCAACGUUCAGACUUGUAUCCUGAUCUUAUACAACUAGAAAUGGAUACUUGAUAUGUGGUGGAUAUGUGGCCCCGGGAUUGCUUUCUCGUAGGGAGUCGAGGAAGGAUCUCUGGGCAUUAAUUCUACAACAUGCUUGUUAAUUAUAAACUGCUAUUCUUUACUAUUCUACAUGUUGCAAGAUGCUUGGAGCUGCUUGAAGAUGCUAGUCUUUGAUAGGCUAGGCCUUCCCCUCUAUUCUGGCAUUCUGCAGUUCAGUCCACAGAUACAACCCUUCCAUUUGAUACCAAUGCAUACUUAGUAUAGUUCUGAUGCUUGCGAGUACUUUGGAUGAGUACUCACGGUUGCUUUGCUCCCCAUUUCCCCCCCUUCUUUCUUCUUUCUGGUUGUUGCAACCAGAUGGUGGAUCCCAGGAGCCAGAUGCCACCCAGUCAACUACUACUACCACCCCGAGGGUGCCUACUACUACGUGGAGCCCGCCGACGACCAGGAGUAGUUAGGAGGUCCCAGGCAGGAGGCCUUGCCUCUUCGAUUGUUGAUGUUUGUGCUAGCCUUCUUAAGGCAAAACUUGUUUAACUUAUGUCUGUACUCUUAUAUUGUUGCUUCCGCUGACUCUUGUGUAUCGAGCUAUCUAUUCGAGCCCUCGAGGCCCCUGGCUUGUAAUAUGAAGCUUGUAUGACUUUUCAAUUUGUGUUUAGAGUUGUGUUGUGAUAUCCUCCCGUGAGUCCCUGAUCUUGAUCGUACACGUUUGCGUUUAUGAUUAGUGUACAGUCGAGUCGGGAGCGUCACAAUGCGUGUAGUAGUAGUAAUUAAAAAGAAAACCCAAAAAGAUUUCUCGUUCUUCUUUUGCUUGUUGGGAGCUUUCCCAUGUAAAUAGUUUUAUUUCUUUUUUUAUUCUUUGGGGGUCGAGAGGAGAAGACCAUGAUGAAAAUUUUGAGUGGCUCUCAUAUGCAUUAUUGUUGAUUUAACAAAGAGGCCAUAUUACUUUGUCUUCUCCCUUGUAUUGAAUGCUUGCAGAUUCUAGCUUAGUCCAAUGCACGUGCACUAUUAUUAUUAUCCACACCUUUCGGUCGUGCGAGUGAAAGGCAAUAAUGACGAUAUAUGAUGGACUGAUUGAGAUGAGAGAAGCUGGUAUGAACUCGACCUAUCUUGUUUUUGUAAAUAUGAUUAGUUCAUCAUUCCUGAUUCAGCUUAUUAUGAAUGAAACAUGUUUGCAAUGACAAUUAGAGUUUAUAGUUGCCCAUGCCAUGCUUAAUUAGCUAGGAGUUUAUAAUGGUUUACCUUGCGUACCAACAUGCUAUUAAGAUGGUUGUGAUGUGGUAUGAGCACCAGUUGGAGAUCACCGUUGUCAUUCGCAUGCAUUGCUAUUAAUUUACAUUGAGUAUGACUGUGACUGGAUCUCUUUUACCAUGAAUUACAAUGUCUAGUCAGUCCUUGAUCUUCAGGGGUGCUCUGCAUUUAUGUUUUGUGGUCUCAGAAAGGGCUAGCGAGAUACCAUCUUGUUAUAUCAUGUUGUGAUUGUUUUGAGAAAGUGUUGUCAUCCGAGAUUUAUUAUUAUUGCUCGCUAGUUGAUUAUGCCAUUGAUAUGAGUAAAUAUGAGACCUAAAUUUUAGUGUGAAUAUGGUUAGUUCAUAAUCCUUGCUGAAAACUUGAAUGCUGGCUUUACAUAUUUGCAACAACAAGAUCAAACAGAGUUUGUAAAUUUUUUUCUUUAUCACUUUCAGUUUGUUAGCUGAAUUGCUUGAGGACAAGCAAAGGUUUAGGCUUGGGGGAGUUGAUACGUCUCCAACGUAUCUACUUUUCCAAACACUCUUGCCCUUGUUUUGGACUCUAACUUGCAUGAUUUGAAUGGAACUAACCCGGACUGACGAUGUUUUCAGCAGAAUUGCCAUGGUGUUAUUUUUGUGCAGAAAUAAAAGUUCUCGAAAUGACCUGAAAAUCCAUGGAGACAUGUUUUGGAAUUAAUAAAAAUACUGGCGAAAGAAUCAGCAUCAGGGGGCCCACACCCUGUCCACGAGGGUGCAGGGCGCCCCCCUGGGGCGCGCCCCCUGCCUCAUGGGCCCCCUGAGAGUCCACCGACCUCAAGUCAACUCCAUAUAUUCACGUUCGGGGAGAAAAAAAUCAGAGAGAAGGAUUCAUCGCGUUUUACGAUACAGAGCCGCCGCCAAGCCCUAAUCUUCCUCGGGAGGGCUGAUCUGGAGUCCGUUCGGGGCUCCGGAGAGGGGAAUCCGUCGCCAUCGUCAUCAUCAACUAUCCUCCAUCACCAAUUUCAUGAUGCUCACCGCCAUGCGUGAGUAAUCUCAUCAUAGGCUUGCUGGACAGUGAUGGGUUGGAUGAGAUUUACCAUGUAAUCGAGUUAGUUUUGUUAGGGUUUGAUCCCUGGUAUCCAUUAUGUUCUGAGAUUGAUGUUGCUAUGACUUUGCUAUGCUUAAUGCUUGUCACUAGGGCCCCAGUGCCAUGAUUUUAGAUCUGAACCUAUUAUGUUUUCAUGAAUAUAUGUGAGUUCUUGAUCCUAUCUUGCAAGUCAAUAGUCACCUACUAUGUGUUAUGACCCGGCAACCCCGAAGUGACAAUAAUCGGGACUACUCCCGGUGAUGACCGUAGUUUGAGGAGUUCAUGUACUCACUAAGUGUUAAUGCUUUGGUCCGGUACUCUAUUAAAAGGAGGCCUUAAUAUCCCUUAGUUUCCAAUAGGACCCCGCUGCCACGGGAGGGUAGGACAAAAGAUGUCAUGCAAGUUCUUUUCCAUAAGCACGUAUGACUAUAUUCGGAAUACAUUCCUACAUUACAUUGAUGAACUGUAGCUAGUUUUGUGUCACCUAUGUUAUAACUGUUGCAUGAGGAAUCGCAUCCGACAUAAUUAUCCAUCAUUGAUCCAUUGCUACGAGCUUUUCACAUAUUGAUCUUUGCUUAGUUACUUUUCCGCUGCCAUUGUUACGAUUGCUACAAAACUACUACUGUUACUUUUUCCACCGUUACCGUUACUUCCAUACUACUUUGCUACUAAAUAUUUUGCUGCAGAUAUUAAGUCUUUCAGGCGUGGUUGAAUUGACGACUCAACUGCUAAUACUUGAGAAUAUUCUUUGGCUCCCCUUGUGUCGAAUCAAUAAAUUUGGGUUGAAUACUCUACCCUCGAAAACUGUUGCGAUCCUCUGUACUUGUGGAUUAUCAGCUUGUAGUUCAAAUUUGAAUUAUGCACAUAAAAUGCCUAGAAACCCUAGUUAAUGUACAAAAAAGGUCAAACGAACCCCGAAAAAUUCCAAGAUUAAACACAACACUCAUGUUGUUCUAUGUUGACACUAGAAAUUUUUGAAAGCAAUAAGAGGCAAUGGAUAUCGUCCCGUCCCCAAAGGUGGUACAUUCCCUAUCGAAACCAUCAUGCUUGUUGUGAGAAGCUCUGGUUUGUGAGAAGCUUAUACCCAAACCUGUCCCGAAAUGGGACAAAAUUUUCACCACGGCAUGUUGAUGCCGCUCCAUGAUAGCAUGCCAAGUUUCAUGAAUUUCAGACGAGUUUUGGAUUUACCAGAAUUUAAAAACCAGGUAUCUCAACGUUUUGCCGGCAAUCAACAGUGCCCUGGUGUUUGAAAUUCAUUCCCGUCUCUUGCAUGGGACCUAAGUAUGCACCCAAGGACACACAUGUGAUUUUUCAACCAAUUUAUAUGCACUCGAGCAUGUGCAUGUAGUUCAAAUUUGAAUUAUGCACAUAAAAUGCCUAGAAAACUCAGUUAAUGCAUAAAAAUGUCCAAACGAACCCCGAAAAAUCCCAAAUUUUGACAUAACACUCCUGUUGUUCUAUGUUGACACGAGAAAGUUUUUGAAAGCAAUAAGAGGCAGUGGAUAUCGUUUCGUCCCCAAAGGUGGGACGUACAUUCCCUACCGAAACCAUCAGGCUUGUUGUGAGAAGCUCUGGUUUAUGAGAAGCAUAUACCCAAACCUGCCCCAAAUGGGACAAUUUUUUUACCACGGUAUGUUUAUGCCGCUCCAUGAUAGCAUGCCAAGUUUCAUGAAUUUCAGACGAGUUUUGGAUUUACUAGAAUUUAAAAACCAGGCAUCUCAAUGUUUUGCCGGCAAUCAACGGUGCCCCGGUGUUUGAAAUUCAUUCCCAUUUCUUGCAUGGGACCUAAGCAUGCACCCAAGGACACAGAUUUGAUUUUUCAACCAAUUUAUAUGCACUAGAGCAUGUGCAUGUAGUUCAAAUUUGAAUUAGGCCCAUAAAUGCAUUGAAAACUCAGUUAAUGCAUAAAAAUGUCCAAACGAACCCCAAAAAAUCCCAAAAAUUGACACAACACUCCUGUUGUUCUAUGUUGACACAAGAAAAAUAUAUGAAAGCUGUAAGAGGCAAUGGAUAUCGUUUCGUCCCCAAAGGUGGGACGUUCCCUAUCGAAACCAUCAUGCUUGUUGUGAGAAGCUCUGGUUUGUGAGAUGCUUAUACCCGAACUUGCCCCAAAUGGGACAAUUUUUUACCACGGCAUGUUGAUACCGCUCCAUGAUAGCAUGCCAAGUUUCAUGAAUUUCAGACGAGUUUUGGAUUUAUUAGAAUUUAAAAACCAGGCAUCUCAACAUUUUGCCGGCAAUCAACAGUGCCCUAGUGUUUGAAUUUCAUUCCCAUCUCUUGCAUGGGACCUAGAAAUUCACCCAAGGACACACAUGUGAUUUUUCAACCAACUUUAGUGCAUUGGAGCACGUGCUUGUAGUUCAAAUUUGAAUUAUGCACAUAAAAUGCCUAGAAAAUCCAGUUAAUGCAUAAAAAUGUCCAAACGAACCCCGAAAAAUCACAAAAAUUGACACAACACUCAUGUUGUUCUAUGUUGACACUAGAAAUUUUUUGAAAGCAAUAAGAGGCAACGGAUAUCAUCCCGUCCCCAAAGGUGGUACGUUCCCUAUCGAAACCAUCAUGCUUGUUGUGAGAAGCUCUGGUUUGUGAGAAGCUUAUACCCAAAUCUGUCCCAAAAUGGGACAAAAUUUUCACCACGGCAUGUUGAUGCCGCUCCAUGAUAGCAUGCCAAGUUUCAUGUUUUUCUGACGAGUUUUGGAUUUACUAGAAUUUAAAAACCAGGUAUCUCAACGUUUUACCGGCAAUCAACAGUGCCCUGGUGUUUGAAAUUCAUUCUCAUCUCUUGCAUGGGACCUAUAAAUUCACCCUUUUGACUUACUCCCCCGCCACGAGCGAACGGGAAUGGAUAAGAGGCUUGUGGGAUUGACGUGAUAGGGUAGGGUUGGCUAUACUGCUGGUGGCGAACUCCAGGCUAAUAAUCUGAAGCGCAUGGAUACAAGUUAUCCUUGGAAGGAAAGACAAUUCCGAAUCUGCUUUGUCUACGAAUAAGGAAGCUAUAAGUAAUGCAACUAUGAAUCUCAUGGAGAGUUCGAUCCUGGCUCAGGAUGAACGCUGGCGGCAUGCUUAACACAUGCAAGUCGAACGGGAAGUGGUGUUUCCAGUGGCGAACGGGUGAGUAACGCGUAAGAACCUGCCCUUGGGAGGGGAACAACAACUGGAAACGGUUGCUAGACACACAUGUGAUUUUUCAACCAACUUUGGUGCAUUGGAGCAUGUGCUUGUAGUUCAAAUUUGAAUUAUGCACAUAAAAUGCCUAGAAAAUCCAGUUAAUGUAUAGAAAAGGCCAAACGAACCCCGAAAAAUGCAUUCCCAUUUCUCGCAUGGGACCUAAGCAUGCACUAAAGGAGAUAGAUUUGAUUUUUCAACCAAUUUGUAUGCAUCGAAGCAUGUGCAUGUAGUUUAAUUUUGAAUUGUGCACGUGAAAUGGCUAGAAAACCAGUUCAAUAUAUAAAAUGUCCAAACGAACCUUGAAUAAUUCCAAUUCUUUUACGACACACAUAUAGUUGCAUGUUCACUGCAGAUAAAUGGUCUAGCAAUUCAAACAGCGUCCAUUGCCGCUGUGACCCCAUUUUGUAAUUCAUAUCAAGUAGAUCCCACACAGUUUAUUAUCACCAACCGUGUGAGAUGUAGUACAAAAUAUCUUGGAGCACCGUUGGUGUAUAGUACGCCUAUGGCUUACGCGAUAAGGUGCGUCGGCUACAGUCCACAGCCAGUGUGUCAAGCACACUAGCUCACUCCCCAAAAACUCUCGCCUCUGCAUCCCUCGCAAUCUCGAAAAUAUCUACCGCCUGGAAGGUUUUAAUGUUUGGUAGCACACGAUUAGUAUGUGCGGACCGUGUGCGAUAUCUGUUACUCCCGCUCUGCUUCAGUCCCUUGAUUCAAAUUUUCAGUAGCCCCGGCAUUUUAGUCCCGCCUCUGCAUCCCUCGCAAUCUCAAAAAUAUCUGCUCGCCCUUGAUCCAAAUUUUCAGUAGCCCCGCCUUGUUACUCCCGCCUAGUAAAAAUUUUAGUUGCCGCAGUAUUUCCUCAAACACAACCUUGCCCCCCCCCCUCCACACACCCCAAAACCUCCGCUCACACAGACACACACAACCCUCGAAACCAUUGGUAGGUCGCCGCCAUCGCCGGCGCCUCCAUCCUCAACCUCUACCUGUGUGCCGGGGAGCUCGAGGAGCCAAUGGCCAAAAAGAGGUUUAUCGCGGCCUUUUCGCCCGACGCCGGCGAGGUGGCCGCCGAGGUGUCCCCGUCGUCCUCCGCGGGCCCGAUCCGCCAUCGCUGGUCCCCCGAUCUGCCCGCCGCCGCGCCCCUACGUCGGUAUGAGGACUUCCUCGUCCUCCCUCGGACCCGGCAGCCGACAAAGUCCUACCUCGGGUCCGGCAGCGGUGGUGGGGGACGUGGGUCGCUGAGAUUACAGAUCGAGAGACCCACACCCACCGGUGGCUCAGUAACUUCCACAGGGCCGAGCUCGCGGCCAUGGAGUACGACCGUUGGCAGGUCCGCUACCACGGCGCGGCGGCUAGGCUCAAUUUCCCCUUCAGCACACGGCCGGUCGACCUCGUUCCGUCAGAGCCAGGGAUGGUGAGCUCGGCUAUGGCGCGGGAGGACCGCGAGGCGUGGGAGCGCCUCGAGGCCGAGGCCACCGAUGAGGCCUACAUGCAAGAGCUCCGCCGGCAGCACCCGGAGCUCAUGGAGGCGGAGCGGGCGAUCUUUGGCAGCGAGGUUAUCGCGCUCUCCUUUGAUGACAAGGUCGAAGGCGGCGCGGCAGGCGGCGAGGUUAUCGCGCUCUCCUCUGAUGACAAGAUCGAAGGCGGCGGCGACGGCGGCGCAGAGGGCGUCGAGGUGGGCCCCGAGGACGAGGAGAUCGACGUCGACGAGUGGAGGAGUGCCUUCCCCAAUGACCCCGAUGAUGGUACUGGCCCGGACCCGGCUCGAGGCACACCGUACAUGACGAGGAAGGAUUGGCUCGACCUCUACUUCGACCAAAAGUAGUUUAGCUUAGUUUAAAUUUAUGUUUUAUGUUCGGUUAUGCAAAAAACUAUCUAUGUUUAUGUUUGAAUGCAUGCUACUUUUGGUUGAACCUGCUUUGAACUUGAUCAAAUUGAAGUUUACAACCUUAAGUUUAGGGGAUCCACUAGAAAAGGCCAAAAUUGCUGGAGUAUAUAUAUAUAUAUCCACUAAGGGUUUUAGUCCUUUAACUUUUUAACGAUCGCCUAGAGAUGUCCUUAUAACUUGUUUAUUUCAGUUCUUCACAAUGAGAUGCUCUAUAUGUGCAACUAUUUGCCGUGCAGUUCAAUUUCAUCAAUAACAGUUUCAACAAUACCACUAUGAAUUACGAUAUUUGGUUGUUGCUAAGGAUAUUGCAGUUAACAUACCUUUUCGUUUUUCAAUUGUUGUUUAGCAACAUGCAUUGUACUGAAUGACUAAAUAUGCAAUCUCAGGCUACAUAGCAACAAGGAAGAGUGUUACCUUAAUGUUCUGAUGAUGUAUAGAUAUACAUGUAAUAAAAUCUUAUAUAAUGGGAUGGAUGGAGUAUUGUACAACAUCAUUUUUCAAUUGUUGUUUAGCUUCUAAUAUUAACUUGGUGCUUUUAGGUACAUAUAUCAUUGCCAAAGAUCCACACUUCGACCCUUUUUGCGUAUGGGGCAAUGAGAUAUUCAUGAACCAUCAUCAAGUGAGGAAACUAAUAAAGAAUAUUAAAAUGGGUCAAAAAAAUGUCAAUCGAACUAUUUGUUUACACUUUAUGCAAGACAACAGUGAACUACAGGAUGGUAAGUAAGAACCCUGUAGCCUUCUUUUUACUGCCCGUAAGGAGUUGUGUUAGAUGACAAUAUAUGAAUCUUUUUUCUUUUGCAGUGGAUCCUGAAGAAGUUUAAUCAAGAUUACCUCUCAAACUACAUGAUUGGCGGCCGACCAUCACAAGGGGUUGGACUAGAGUCCUGCAUGCCUUCUGCAUCCAGGAGAGCACAAUAGAGCCAUUCCGCUUCGCCUUGUUCAGCAACUGGAAUGUCUGUCGCCUCUUUCUUUACCAUCUGUAAUAGUACAAGUAUAGAACCCUGGUACAUCAUUCUUUAUUUGGUGCUUAUGUAAUUCUUAAACAUAUGUACAUGUGAAUCGAAUAAUGCAUUGGUUGUUUGAACCUGAUGGAUAUGAAUAAAGCUAUAGCCUACUUUCAAGUUUAAAUUAGGUACAAUUUUAAAUAGCAGCAAUUAAAUUAGGGCGAAAUUACGUUGUGCAGGUCAUUAUGGCACACACGGUUGGUAAAACAUAAACGUUUGCGAUAUACACCAUAAUCCGAGACGGUUCACAGAGAGGAAACGUGUGCAAGCAUGCACACAGUUGCCAUUUGCAAAGCGUGUGUGAUGUCAGACACUAUCACAUACGGUGCGAGAAAACUAAAUGUUUGUGAUUGUCUACCCAUCGUACACGUUUAUAAUCAUGAACUGUUUGUGAUGUGCCAGGCAUCGUAAAACUCCCGUGCCUAGAAUCUGCCUGGAAAACUCCUGUGCCUGGAAUCUGCCUGGUCUUAAGCAGAACCACAAAACUCCGACUGCAAUGGCAAUGCGAGCACAAACGAGUAGCAAGGAUGAAGCAUUUGGGAUAUUCGAGAUAUCGGAAACGGUUAUAUAGGGACAACUAUAUGCAUCAAGGCUCCCUAUCCCCGACGGUUUCUGGGUCGUGUGGGAAGGACCCCCCUAUCGCCCACACUCACUUGGCGACGGUUCCAAAUGCCGUCACGGAAAGGGGUUAAAAACCGUUUGUUUAGGACCGACGCGCACCAGUGUUGAUUUGUUGCUAACAACCUAAAGUCGUGGCCAACUGGUUGUGACGAUUAUUUCCAUCUAUGGGGAACCUCUCCUACCAAGUGGAUUCCAUAUGCCCUAGCUCAGUUUGAAGGACCGUAGCUAUGGCUGGAGCCUGUACUGCAGUGAGCUCCGAUAGCGAAUAGGGGGCAGUCCUGUCAAUUAGACGGGGCUAACAGACGCGAGGCAAAGCCACCAAAGAGGUGGCCCCAACCGCGCCCACGGACUACCCGUCAUGGAGCCCUGAGGAAAACAGAUCGGGUGUGAUGCGUUCGUGAAGAUCGGACUACCGCGAGGGCGCCCAACUGGAGCGGGCGAAGCACCUCAGCCUGGGGCGAAGACGCUCACUCGGACCUGACUAGCUCAUCUCUCGCGGGGCAAGGCGUGAGAGGGCGUGACGAAAUCAACACAUAGAGGUGGUCUCGGCGUGACUGCGGCCCAUGCGUCAUGGACACCCAAAGAAAGAUGGUUGGGGUGAGGCGUGUAGGCAAAUCGGAGCGUCCUAGGGCGCCGGCCAUGUGAGGUCAGCGCCAACGGGACGGCGCGGAGGGCACUCUUGUGCGGCGAGGCUUCUAGGAGGCGGCUACUCUACCAUCCUUUAUAGGAAUAAUGUUCCAUGUGUAGCACGCAUAUUUUCCAUAUUGUAUGAGGGUUUCCUGCAUAUUUAUUUACUCCAUCCCCGCGCGCGUGAAAAUGCAAAUUGCAUAGGCAUCCCAUCAUUACAUUUACUUAUUCUCUGUGUCUAUGAAGAUCUUGUCGUUCAAGCUCGAAAGUGUGCUUCUAGUCCCGAGAUCACAUGCACAUGUGUGGCAUAAAUGGUAAAUUAAAAAAACGAAUUCCAAGAAUUAUGUUUUUUUGCAACAAACAUUGAUUAGUGUUAUGCCCGCAUGCAAAUUUUCAUAAUGAAAUGACAUUUGUUGAUGUGUGCAAAAAAUGAGCGCCCCAAAAAUGCUUUAGAAAUUAGUCUUUUGCAGAUUGAUUUGUUUUUGUGCGUAGACUUCCACAAACAUUACUCCACCAUAAAAUUUUGCACGCACAUAAAACAUUGUUCAAUGUUUACCUAAGAAAAAACAAUUUUUUAAUAUUUUAUUAUUCUUCUGGGUGCAUGUGCACCCGGUAGCAGAAACUCCAUAUCCUGUCUUUUCUAUUUGUUUUCUUGUUUACUUGUAUUACUCGUUGCCUACAAGCUGAUUCUCUAGCUCUAUGCAUCUGUUGUUCAUGGCUUUAUCAAAUUUAAAGCCCAGUGUAGUGCCUUCGAUAUUUAGGCUUCGAUAUUUAGGCUACACUAUAACACAAGGAUGCAUAUGCAUCUUCACCAAUGACGCACGCACAACAAUAUAAACAUGAAGUAGUAAUUAAUGGUUGAUCUUUGUUUUCUCACGCAAAGUAGAUAAAUCAAGGUCAGAGAGUAGAUUCAUCGGGAGUUGGAGUGGAUCAUGUAUCACCGCAUCCACCGCACCGGCCUUCUCCUCUUGGCAGCUAAAUGCGUCUCCCUGAUAAUAGAAAAAGUAGCAUGUCUUGCAUAUGUUCCAGAACAGUUCCUUGCAAGGCCUAGGCACGGCAUCGUCCUCCCUAAGGACCAACCUUAGCAGGUCUCUUCUGCAGGUGUCUAUGGGCUUCUGCAACUUCCUCCUAGCCUCUGGUAUAGUCAAAGAGCCAUCAUUGUGAAGCACGAGCAGAGAGACACUGUUGAGUUUACCCUCUUUGUACUCCCUCUGCAACAAAGUAGUCAACAAAACUCUUUUUGUUAGCUAUGAUGCCACAACUUUUGUUUGGAGUUUGUCAAUUGCAUCACGAGAAUUCAAGACACAUUUAUCUGAAGCUAAGUAAUAAAUCAACGCAUGCAAAUUAAAUUUUAGAAUAACUUGUGCAAGAUACCUCGUAGGUUUGGACGUCAUUGAGAAGACGACCGCAAGUGCUCGUCAGCCUAAACAACUCACUGUACUCAGGAUCUAUGACCAUAGACUCCGUAAUCUUUGGUCCAACAAAGUACAACGCCGGAAGCACAAUUGGGCCCAACGCAAAUGUCACAACUGCAUUUUCUAUGUACUCAUCUAGAGUUGGAACGUAUCCGCCCGUUCUCCAUUCCACCUCAGUCAUCAUAUUCCUUAGCAAUUCUUGCCACUAUAGAAAGCAACUGGGAGAUCAUCAGUAUUCGUAACAACAACAUAUUCUUCCAUGAACACGAGACUGGGCAUGAUUAGACUAACAAUUUCUACUAGGUGUCCCGUGACAUCGCGACCUUGCACUGUGGAAGCCUUUGAUCCAAGCUCGUUUACCGAGCUAUAAAUUGCAGAGAACACGAUCUCGACUUGUUCAGAGUAGUACUCAGUUUCCUCUUGGUGCUCCCACCUGUGACAAACUAGGAUAACCAUAAGAAACCCGACUUUGUUUUGGGAGAAAAAUAACCGACGUAAAUAUUGUUACAUCUCGACUAAUGCAGUGAGGUUCUCCAAUUCGUCUUUUGAUCCCCCAACGUCAAAGAAGUCAUCAACAACCGUUGUGAGCGCGCCAUUCUUGGCCCAUAGGAUGCGAGCAUCAGAUAGCUCCGGAGGGAACAUGGUGCUGGCAGCUGACAGGUAGAAAUAUGCCAACUUCUGUCUUGCGAAAGGUAGCCGGUUCAGCCUGCUCUCUCUCACCCAACUGUCAUGAAAAUAAAAAUGUCUUAAUAAGAAAAUUUGUCGGUACAUAGGAGAACAUUAAUUUCAAUCAGAAGUACCUCUCGAGAUGCUGAUAUUCUUGUUGGUAAAUAGAUUGACUUGUAUUGAAAUCCAUGACACCCAAAGCUAGAAGAUCUUGAUUUGUCUGCCAAGUCCUGCUUAAGAAAUGCGAUGAUAUGGUAGUGUUUGUGUGUACAUAGCACUUGAUUUGCGAAAAAAAAGAAUAAAACCAUACAAUUGUAGGAUGGGAUGCUCGAUUAUGUCAAAUUGUUCGAUGUUCCUCUUAUGCUCCAGACGAUCCAACAUGGUGUAGAAGGGGCUAUCAAGAACAUGUUCUACCUAAGAACACAAAGGCACAUAUUAGCAACGAGCAUACAAGAAAAUUUAAUCUCCAAUGGAGCUAGGAAAAUUAAUUCCUAGAACGAAUUAAUCAUAGACAAGAUCUUACAGAAAUAUAAAUCUAGUAUACAGCAAAAAUGUUCAUUCUUUAGGGAAAGGAGUGGCUGAACCCAGCUCGGUGCACCCACGCAAGAAAACAUAAUAAAACAUUUUAAAAAAUUCUGAAACUUUGUAGGAAUGAUCAUCAACAAAUGUUAUGGGCACUUGCAAAGUUUGAUGGUAAAAUAACAUUCGAGGAGCUCUGUUCAAAAAAUACAAAAUUACAAAAUCUGCUCAAACAGUGUACUUACGUUUUGAGUAAAUUUCAGUGAUUUUGCCUUUUCUGUACAUAGCUCCUCGAAUGUUUUUUGACCACCAAACUUUGCAAGUGGCCAUAACAUUUGUUGAUCGUCAUUCCUACAAAGUUUCAGAAUUUUUUGAAAUAUUUUGCUAUGUUUUUUUUGCGUGGGUGCACCGAGCUGGGGUGUAGAAAAACCACUCUCCAUUCUUUAAGUCUAUCUAUAGAAGUUCAGUAGGUGCAUGCAUGCACAUAGUUUUUUGGAUGAAGUAUAUAUAUACCUCUCUUAGGAGUGGGGUUCUUUGUGCCUCACUAGAUUUCAGUUGUUGCCUCAGUAGGUGACCUGACCAGUAUCCUAUAAUAUCCAGAAUCAACUCAUCGUCUGAAGUACUAACUUGUGAAGCCUUGUAUAGUUCCAACAAAGAUCUCGUGUCACUCAGAUCGGUGGAGAUAUGUGACAGGCCAUCUACAUGCGCACGUUAUAAUUUCAGGUGGAUAAUCAGCGUGAGAAAGGUACACAGCCUGUAUUAAGUAAGAAUUAAAACAAAUAAUAUACUUUAAGCAAAUUAACAACCAAUUUUGUUUCCAAAACUAGAAAAGGUAUACCAGCUGAUACAUUGUACCCAUUCAUCCGUAAGAUGCGGAACGCCAUGGCACAUGUCUCCACAUCUAGCAUGAUCUCAUCUCUUUGUAACCAAUAACUGUAAAAUUUGCUCUUGUCAGGACACACAUGAUACUUAUAACCACAGUAAAAAGAUGUUAGUGUUUACGCCUAAGUUGUCUUAGAUUUUUCUUAUGUCUAAGUCGAUGGUGCUUGUCUCUCACUGCGGAAAUAUCAGACGGCUCAAACAUCAACUUAGACAUACAAAUCCUAAACAACUAAGAUUUAUCGAAACCAAACACAAUAACCAAAUAAACGAUCUCUAAACCCUACCUAGUAGUGUGUGUACGGUGUACCUGUAUGUAAAAUCCAGGAUACUCUUGAUCUCACUGGCAAAAUGCCGAGAUAUACCGAUCUUUUGGAGCACAUCCACCAUGGAAAGUUGGCGAUGUAGACUUUCCUGACACGUCGGCACUUCUUCAGGUUUGUGGAGCUGCUUCUUUGUUUGAGUCUCUCUAGCCUUCUUCUCGACCUUGCAAUUUAAUGAUCCUAACUGAAAAGUACAUAUGCAAGAAGAAGUACUAAAGUUGUACUAAGUCUGUGUUAAUUAAUAUAGAUUGGAGGGAGUACUUGUUUUCAUUUAUAAUAAAAAUAAAAAUGGAACCAGAGUCGCCACGUACCAGAUUUGGCAUGCUCGCAACAUUUCCUCCAACUUGUGGCUUGUUCUUGGCCACUGCUAUAAUAAAGAAUGUCACCAAACCGAUUGAAGACUGUUAGUUAGUUAAGAGUUUUGCUACACCUACGUAAUUGGUCUUACAUAGCAUAAAGGAGGGACGAGGUGGCAGCUUUUAAUUUGAUAUUAGUGGGGGAAAGAGGGAUUUUCGUAGGUCACCUAAUACCUCUUGGUAGGUCUAGCAUUUUUGGUUAGUUAUAAUUAGCAAUGCGGCACAACUAAUUUGUUUCUCUCCGACGAUAAAAGCUAGGCACAAGAUUUUGCUUUGCAUAAAACAAAGAAGAUGCAAGCACGGCAGGCUACCUCUAGCGACGGCAGGCCGGGGAGCUCUGGUCGAUCGCAUCGGCAGCACCCCGCAUAGGAGGCCGCCGCGGGACGAGCAGCGAGCGGUCGGCAGCGUCAGAGAAGAACUGCCCGGCGGCGGAUUCACCAUCAUUGCCGCCGCCACACGAUUGGUCGAUGUGCAGAAGAACUAACCGAGUGUGUGGUCGAGUGAAAGACUCGGAGUUCAGUUUAUAUAGAACGUCGCCAGACCUUCCUAUCUGUGUUGCGGCCGGAUAUUUUAUUCUAUACGAGGUGAGUCUGCAUUGUCCCUCUGUUCCACUCACGGGUCUUGUGGACGAGGUGAGUCGCACAUUUUUCACUCGCGAAUCCUGAGGUUGGUUCAGUUCUUCAAAAAGUGGGCAUGCGUCGUGAGCCACCCGUGAACAUAUCUUCCUCUGGUCCAUGAGAGUAGGCCUAAUAUGGGCACGUCCAACGAAGGCUGCGUCAAGCUAUAUACGAACAUACCUCUUCCACAUAGGCACAUGUGGUGCUGAAGCUACCGUCCAAAACAAACACUCUCACCUCACGCUCAUACUCAGAGUGAAUCGUAAAAAUCCACCACAUUUAGGGUAUCGUUUGCAGAAAACCACCUAGUCCCUAAUUUUGUGCAAAAAUCAUUGCGUUUCUAGUAAACUUUUUGCAAAUUGCACUGAUCAGGUGAUUUAGCCCAUGUAAUCACUUUCUGACACGUGGGACCAGACUAUAAGGAGCUGUCUUGGCAAAAACUUUACAUGCACAUCCCUGGAUCUAAAAACAAAAAGCAAUCAACCCCUACGGUGGAGUUCGUCCUCGCCGGAGUUCGGAGUAGUUCGGCGGCGCGCAGGAGCUCGUCCUCGCCGGAGCUCAGAGUAGUUCGGCGGCGCAUCCCGGUCGCAGGUCCCCGCGGUCGCCUCGUCCGCGAGCUGGUCGGCACAUCCGCGACACAGCGCCACGGCCUCGUGCUCAGCAUGCCCGCAACACAGCUGCUCGGCGUGCCUGCGGCUGCAGCAGCAACCGCGGGGAGCAGCGGCGAGCAGCAGCCACAUCGGCGGGAAGGUGCGGUGCCGAGCAGCAGCACGCAGCGGCGCACGGGGCCGUGAGCUUGAGGCUAGGGCGAGCUGCCGGCCAACUGCGAUGGCCGGGGAGGAGGGAGGCCGGCGCCGUCCUGCCGGAGGCCGCCUCGCGGUGGCCAGCCACUACCUCAGAGGAGGAAGGCGACGGGGGUGGGAGGGGGGCUGAUUGCUUUUUCAUUUUUUGAAUAAGGGUGUCUUUGUGAAAUCCGGGGAGGUGUAUGUCAAAUUUUUAUCAAAUCAUCUCCUUAUAAUCCGGUCCCACUUGUCAGAAAGUGAUCAAUCAGGCUAAAUCAAUCUACAAAAAGUUUAUUAGAAACGCGAUGAUUUUUACACAAAAUUAGGGACUAUGUAGUUUUCUGCAAACGAUGCCUCAAAUAUGAUGCUUUUUUGCAAUUCACUCUCGUACUCAGAUUCUUUAGGCAGAGGUCGGCCCGUCCGAUCAGAGUAGAUUCCGGUAGGCCGGUGCGGAGGCAGAAAUGGACCAGGGUAGCCUGACCAGCUUGUCCACCAAGUAAGCUGCCACGUCGUUCCAACAAACGGUUCGAGUUAAUCACUUCGGCGAAAUAAAAAAAUCAAAGGCAUUUAUGGCGGUUGAUAAAUGAUGGGGGUCAUUGUCUUCUCUUAUGUACAGUGGUUGGCAAAAACAGAAUUAGAGGCUGAUGGAGAACCACGACUCCCUUUGCUCUAUUGUGCUUAGAGCAAAAGAUAUUAUCCAGGGGAAAAUUUAUUGCAAGCAAAACGGAAGAGUGGAACAUCGUUUACUUGGCAUUGCCAUGUAACUAUUAUUGACCCACUCGUGCUGCUUCAGGGAAAACCUUGGGAUCUGGUAUUCCAGAUCGGACGAUGGCGACACUGCGGUGUCGUUUCUCUUUUGGGAGCAUCAUUUGUGGAGCAGCGCUGGAAGACAGAGGCAGGAGGUAGAGCGGCUUCGUCUUGCACGGAGCUUCGGUGGAGAUGUCAAGUCAUGCCUGGGCGACAGGUGCUACGUUGUGUCAUGUAUGUUCGGCAGGUGCUACGUACAACAUAUUUUCCAGAGACUUCAAGCUGUGUCGGCUGGUGGUACUUGGUGACAUGGUGCUGCGGUGUACUGGUGGCGACCGCGACGUGCUCAGCAGUUUGCGCGCAAGGUGGUGGUGUCGUUGGACGCCGUGGUGGCGUCGGCGGAUGGCCGGACUGGUAAGGAUGAUGCAUAUCUCUUUCCUGAAGAUGUGUCAGUGGUUCGAUGAUGAUGGCGGCUUCUAAAACAUGUGCAUGUGUGUACGCUUUAGGUUUGCUGCACCAGUUGUAGGUUCCGAUACCUUAUGUGGAUGUAUCGGCGACGGCACCUAUUUUAGAUGUGAAGAGUAAGGGCAUAUACAACGGAGGCAUCACCCUGAUACUGCCUCAGCUCUUAAACUAAUCAAAAAGUAAUGAAGCCACCAUUUUGAAAAAAUUCUGACCAACAGAGGCCACACUAUGUAGCGGACCCACUGUCCUUCACAUGCAUAGCAUUCUUCUUCUGCUCUCUCUAUCCCUUUCUCUGUAUGCAUCAGCGCAGCAUGCCUUGCUUUUCACGCCCGAAGAGGCUGGCUCUUCUGCAGGCUACACUCGCUACUCCGAGGCUAUAUCUUUUAGUCCGAACCUAGUUCCGGUCCUACGUGUACCAGUGGCGUAGCAGGUUGAGGCUACCCAUUAGCCAUGCCCUAAAAGCACUCCACAUUAUCAUGUUUGUUGGUGUGUAUGUUGGCUUCAAGUGGCUUGAUGUAUAUUCUUGUCAGACAUUUGUUGAAUAAUUAAUAAAGAUGGGUGUACCAUCGAUUGAUGCAGAGGCCGAGGGGUUUAACCUCCUUUUCCAAAAAAAAAUCUAGCGAGUAGGUGAUGGAACUCAUAUUGAUAUUUGGUCACCGUCUCAUCCUUGUUUUCGUGUGCUUACACCAAAAGAAGAUAAUUUGAUGCAGAAAGUAAAUGACUUGAAAGGGCAUCUCCAACAGUAACCUAUAAAUUUUCUCACGCAUCCAUUCGCGGACAGGCUGAUGUGGGAGUCGGCCAUCCAGGCCUGUCCGCAAAUGUCCGCCUUGUCUUUUCUAACUCCGUCAAAUAUCUAUGAUAAUCCAUGGAUUAGUAGCUUCCGCCAACACAUGAAAAAGGGCUUCGGCCAAAACAUGCCUGACUUAUUUUGAUAAUACAUGGAUUAUCAGUAGCUUUGUUCACUUGAAGGAAAAAAUGAACGGCACUUUGGCGCAAGCCAGCAAGUGUUGGCGGAAGCUUUGUUCACUUAAAGGAAAAAAAUGAAACACACUUGGCGGAAGCCAGCAAGUGUUGGCGGAAGAGGAUGUGUAUCACGUACUAGCACAGUAAUCACACAGUAAUCCAAGUGAUUGUUGGCGGAAGCCUUUAACAAAUGUUGGCGGAAGCAUUACUAAUACAUGGAUUAGUAGUUGAACAAAAUAAAAUAGUGACUUCCGCCAAACAUGUUAGGUGGUUUUGAAACCUUCCGCGCUCCAGAGAGAGAAGGGUAUGUGGUGGCUUUUGAUUGACCAGACACGGAUGUCCGGACUCCCCAAAAGCUCCCCCACGAUUUACGGCAGAAAACACGUCCGGAUGGCUUCCGCAGUUUGGAUAGCGCGGUCCGGACGUAUGCGGACAGUUUAUGGCCGCCUUGGAGAUGCCCUAAACCAGCUUCGGGUAAGUGGGAUGAAGAUCUUGUUCGAGAUAUAUUUUGGUUAUUGUCAAUCCCUCUAGCGGAUGACUGUGAAGAUUUUGUGGUAACUUGAAGACAGGCAUACUUUAUAUUAAAAUCAGCGUGCUAUGGGAGUGGUCUCACAAGUUUAGACAAAGUUUUGUUUAUCCACGUGAUAUGGUUGGAUCCAUAAGCCACGAGGUUUGGGCAGACAUAUGGAAAGAAAAGGUAUCUUCGAAGGUAAAAUGAAAACAAUUGGCGAGAAUUCUAGCAAAAAGGCAUGUAUGUGAUUUGGGACCGUGUCAAUUGUGUCCUUUGAGGAUUCGAACCAUAUGUUUUUUUGCUUGCACAAGAGCUAAGCAAAUUUGGAAAGAGCUAGGACUGAAAGAUGAAUCGGAGAAGGAUUUAUGUACAAACCAAGAUGGGGCCGUUGUACUAGAGUAGUUGUUUAAGAACGUCCAUAUAUCGCCCUUGUCCCCGAAGGUUAGUAUUUGCGAGCUAGUUUUCAUAUGGUGGGAGUGACGCCAACUAACACAUGGCGAAAAGGUGCAACCUAUUAUGCAGCUUGUAAUGUCCAUUAGUGCGCUUGUUGUUAAUUAUGUGAGGUGUAUGAAAAAAAUUGUUGCUAAGCCGAGGGUGGGAUGGAAGAAACCACCUGAAGGUAUCUAUAUGGUGAAUAUAGAUACAUCCUAAUCAUGAAAGGUAUGAAGCUACAUCAGAUGUGGUGAUCAGGAAGUCGCCAGGAGGUUUCAUUGUAGCUAGAAGCUUCAAGCUUAAUGCAGUAAUGGAUGGCCUUAUGGUCAAAGCUUAUGCAACCCAUGAUGGUAUCUGGUUUGCUCAACAUAUGGGUCUAUCCAAAGUAAUUAUUCAAGGUGAUGAUUAGCAAGUUAUGGCAACUCUUUGUGACGGAGGGCUCUCAGUUACAUCUAGCUUGGCUAUUUUCCAUGAGUGCAUGCUCCAAGCCAGUGUAUUUGAUGACGCAUUGUAUUCGAUGAACCCUAACUUUCUUAUGAACUCUAUCAUAAACAAUGUAACUUCGGUUGAGAAUGAAUAUAUGAGCCCCAGCACCACCUCCCCCCCCCCCUCCCGGCAAAAAACACACACAUCACUCUCCAAGGAACAGAGGUGGCAGCUAACAUUUUUGCUCCAAAGAAUCAAAGAGGCACGGUCCCUUCGCCAUGUGCACCAACCCCCUUUACCCAUAUUACCCAAGUUUUUUAUUAGACAAUCUCGCAAAGAUUCAGCCGCCAUAAUGUUUACAAAAUAAACAAAGAUCACCAUGUUGACCUAAUCAAACAUGAUGGUCAACUUCUAAAUGUAAAGCAUGUUUCGCUAGAUUUUGAGCCUCGAAAUUCAAGCUCCUCAACUCAUGAACGAAAUUACAUGAAAUAAAAACAUUAUAAUGCUCUAUGAUUAUAUCCGGUGUAAUCAUAGAGGCUACGUUUUUUAGUGCUGAAACAUUUUAUUAACUCAAAAUAUUUUGAGGAAUACAAAUAAUGUUUGGCCUAUCCAGCAGCCACAAAUGACGUCCAAAACCUAAUGUGGUAGCCGCCUUUGCCAGAUUAUGAGCUUCUACAUUCAAGCUUCUACUUUCAUACACAAAUUCUACCGAACCCACACUCUUCAUCUUCCCAUUUAUUUCAUGUAUAAUUGAUUUUGACGUACCAAGGUAACCCCCCUACAAGUUCUUUACCGUUCUGUGGCAGUCGGUCACAAUAAUAACAUUGUUGCACAUUAGGUCCAUUGCCCGGGAUAGAGCUUCACUGCUUGCCUUCGCUUCAAGGAUCUCCAGCGAAAUCAGAUCCAAGGAAUCAAGAAAACAACAUGUUUCAUCAUAGAGGUUGCGUUUUGUUUGAGACAAUCUCGCGAAGCUUUUUAUUAACUCAUCACAAUGUUUACAGGGAUGAAAGUAAGAUCACCCAAAUUGCCUAACCAAACAUGACGGGCAGCCCCAAGUGAGAGAGCAUGCUUGGCUAAAUUGUGAGCCUCGGUAUUCGAACCCCUAAAUUCAUGACUAAUCUAAAAGGCUGCAUAUACUCGGGACCUCCUAUAUGGCGACCUGGGAAACCAGUUAAGUGCUCACCCCCUCCCCCCGCGCGCCCUAAUGAGCCGGCCCAUGUGCGGGACGGGAAGCCCCUUGAUUUUUUUUCUUUUUUUCAUUUUUCUUUUCUCUUUUGUAAGUUUAAAAAAAAUCAGGAUUUCAAAAAAGUUGUGAAUUGUGCAAAAAAUGUUCGUGCAUUCAAUAAAUUCUCAUGAUUUGAAAAAUAUUGAGGAAAUGAUAAAUGCUCAUGCAUUCAAAAACUGUUUGUAAUUUCAAAAAAAUGUCCGUCUAUUAAAAAAAUUCGCAAUUUUAAAAAAAUUCAUGAAUUGUUAGAAAGUUUCAUGAUUUUUUAUAAAUUUUUCAAAAUACUCAAAAAAUGUUCGCAAAAUUCAAAAAGUGUUUGCUGAUUCAAAAAAUAUUCAUGAACUCAGAUAAUGUUUGUCAGAAACAAUAAUUUUUUCUGAAUUUUAAAAAUUGUUCCCGAAUCUUAUAAAUUGUUCUCUGAUUCAAGAAAAAUAUCCCCGAGUUCCAAAAAAUGUAGUAGUACGCACUAAUUAGGAGUGGCCGUAUUAGCCCCCGUUUUUACCCGAAUGCCAACCCCUUCGAGCCGUAGCAGCAGUACGGCCCAACGAACUUGGGUUGGUACCGUGUGCAUCGCAGUUCGGGCCUGCCAGGGGGUUAUACGGCCCAGUCCCAUCUCGCACAAGGCCUUGGCUCGACACGGUGAGACUCCCUGCCCUGCCCUAUCGCCGCCGCCGGCCGCCAUUGCCAGUAAACUUUCAACCGGUGACUCCCACCGCCCCCAAAGUAGGCCAAAACCUACUCGCCCUACCGCACCAUCCCCAAACCCUACUGCCACCCGGCCCCCCUUCACCGCCGCCGCAGCAGCACGGGGACCUCGCCGCGGGCGCCAUGUGAGUGCCCGCCUUUUCGCGAUAGCUGCUCAGCCGGCCGAACUGCUCUGCGUCGUCUCGCUGCUGUGUUACCCCUUGGCGUUUGAUUUGACAUGGCUAGUGCCUCGCAGGUCGUCGCGGCUGUGCGUGAAGAAUCUGCCCAAGGGCGCUGACGAGAAGCGGCUGCGGGAGGUGUUCUCGCGGAAGGGCGAGGUGACCGACGCCAAAGUCAUCCGAACAAAGUAAGCGCCUCGGUUGGGCUCCUCUUGCUGCUUAUGUGCCAAUUUAUAACCAUAUUAUGUGUUUAGAAUCGAACGAUUAGAUUUGUAUUCCCUUUUACGGAGCACAUGAUAUUCCUCCGGAAGCAUAAGAUGAGCUGAUGAAAAGUUAGUAGGGAAAAUGGUAGCUUCAAUUGGACAAGAGAGUUAACAUCUCACUUCUGUAUCCUUGUUUCCUGCAUCUUCAAACCUGGCCCGGCAUCCAUUGCACCUCAUCACUCUGUAAUGGGCAGGCACACAGUAGCGGAGCUAUAGAUGGAAAGCUGGGCGGGCUGGCCUAUAGGAAAGCCAAAUUAUUUUUCUCAUAUGGCUCAAUCUACUCCAACACCUCACUGAUUUCAAACUGGACAGGGCGGGCCAUGGCACAGUUUUACUUGCACAUAGCUCCGCCCCUGCAGGCACAGUGAAACCUGACUUGAACCACACCAUAUGUGGCUGUCUGUUUGGAGUAAAGAAAUUGCAUUUGUAGCUUGAAAACUAUAUGUAAAUUGAUUCGUUUUGCGUGUUUAUAGGGAUGGAAAGAGCAGGCAUCUUGCAUUUAUUGGUUUCAGAACCAAUGAAGAGGCAGCGGAGGCCCUCAACUAUUUCAACAAUACAUACAUUGACACUUCUAAGAUCACCUGUGAGGUAGUUUACUUUCUAAAUAAAUGGGAUUCAGCUUCCUUUUCUCUUUUGUAUACGUAUUGGAUGCACUGCUGUAGCUUGUAGGCGAUUGAAUGAUACUCUGGUGGGUUGAGAUGGGGGUGAGUAAACAUGUCUUAUAAAUAAUCUGGUGUCUGACAGAUUGCACGGAAGAUUGGUGAUCCUGAUGCUCCUCGCCCUUGGAGUCGCCAUUCUUUAAAGAAGCCAGAAUAUAAUGCUAAAGACAAGACUAACAGUGGCGAUGUUAAUGCACCGCUGAAGAGUUCCAAGAGCCAAGGAAAGUCUGCUGAUGUGGGAGCUUCUAAAGGCACUAUAGCUAAUGAUCCCAAGUUCCAAGAGUUUCUUCAAGUUAUGCAACCCCGAUCUAAAGCAAAGAUGUGGGCAAAUGAUACAACGGGUACCCUUGAUGAUGAUGCCAAAGAUAGCACGGUAGCUACUGGAUCCAAGAAGUCGCAGAAGAGUGAAAAUGAUUCAUCGUCUGAAAAUGAUUCAUCUUCUGACGAUGAUUUUGAGGAGAAAAUAACAAAUGAUCUGCCCCCACAAGAUGCUUCAGAGAAGCUGCAAACUGAAAGUAAACGAGACAACAGUAUGACAGAUAUAGACUUCUUCAAGAGUAAAAUUAGAAAAGAUUGGUCCGAUUCCGAAUCUGAUGAUGAAGAUUCUGGUGAUCAGUUGGGCAACAACACUGAUGAUGAAGAACCAUCUGAUGAAUUGCUUGACGCAAAUGAAAAGGGUCAGAUGGUGGAUCAAAAGGGUAAUCUAAACCAGAAAAAUCAUGAAGAUAAGAAAGCGCCCAUGGAAGGUAGUGACAUGCAAGAGGUUGAAGAUUCUGACAACCAAGACGGUGAACAUAUUGAUAGCCAACAAAAAGAUGAAAAUCAUGCCAAUCAAGAAACAGAAGAUGUGGAAGCCGCUUCAACUACUGAUGAAAAGAAGCUGGCACUGGAGACUGGCCGUUUAUAUAUCUGCAACCUUCCAUAUGCAACUACGUAUGCUUUUUACUUGGUGUCAUUACUUCAGAUCAGCAUUUAUGUGUAUAUUCAAGACUUUAGCUGUUUGCCUUUUCUUACAAGGAUAUUGUUGCUUGUGGUUUCAGUGAAGAGGAUCUGGUUCAGCUAUGCAGCCAGUAUGGCGAUGUUGAACAGGCACAUAUUGUCGUCGAUAAAACCACUAAGCUCUCAACAGGCAGAGGUUACGUGCUUUUUAGCCUUCCAGACUCAGCAGUCAGGUAAAUAUUUGGCUAGCAGCUUUGUUAUCCCUGAUGCAGAAGGAUAGUUUUUUUUGUCAGUUCAGCUUACAGGAGAUUGUUUAAUCCGACACUGUACAGACUUACUUUCCUCCAUGCAUAUUUGCAUGAUGCAUGACAGCUUCAUAUGUGGUUUGCAGGGCACUUGAUGAAUUAGACAACUUAAGUUUUCAAGGGCGACUGCUACGUGUUAAGGCUGCUAAACCACUUAAUAAUAAGACAUUUGAGUAAGAAAAGAAGUUCAUUUUGUGCUAUUUCCUUUCUUUGGUUGGCUGUGCAAAUAAUGUGGUAUUCAUUUACUCUUAAAUUGUCAAGGUCUAGUCAUUUUGCUGUUGACGAGAAAAUGAAUCUCAAGGAGAGAAGGUUGGAACAAAAGAAAACAUCUGAAAUUGGCGGGGAUACAAGAGCAUGGAACAGCUUUUAUAUGCGUCAAGAUACUGUAUGGUUAUCUUCUAGCCUUGACAUUGAGUACUGGUUUUUGUUUGUGUCAACUCAACAUGCUGUUUAUGUUUUUGUUGAGACAAUUGUCAUUUAUGUACUUUUGUUGAAAAAAUAUUGUUGCAAAUCACAUGAUAUUGUUGUCAAACAUUUCCUCGCUGUUCCUUUUUGAACAAUCCUCUUAUCUUUCAUGUCAACUGAUUGAAGCAAUUGCGUUUGUAUUUAGGUCGUUGAAAACAUAGCAAGGAAGAAUGGUAUAAGUAAGAGUGAAUUACUUCAUAGGGAAGCGGAUGACCUUGCUGUUCGUAUUGCUCUUGGUGAGACACAUGUCAUUGCGGAGACCAAAAAAUAUCUAUCUAGGUCUGGAAUUAAUGUUGCUGCCUUGGAAGAACAUACUUCCAAAAGAAAUGAGAAGUUGAAACGAAGCAACCAUGUGAUAUUGGUAAAAAACUUGCCAUAUAGUUCUUCUGAAGAAGAUCUCGCUGCGAUGUUUCAGAAACAUGGAAGUUUAGAUAAAAUCGUUCUCCCACCGACGAGAGUAUUUGCCUUGGUAUGUUCUACAUUUUACUUGUGUUGUUCCACUGUUUGUUGUCAUGCUGGUUGUGAUAUUGCCUUUUGGAACUUUUUAUGGGUGUAUAUCAUUCGCUCUUAGGAUUGUGAGUUUGCUUUGCCACCUGAGCUGAUAAUGCCCCUCUUCACUUCUUGUAUUGUUCUGAGUUAUUUCUUUUGGUGUCUCAGGUAGUCUUCGUUGAAGCAACUGAGGCUCGUCAUGCUUUCAAAAAAUUGCUAUACACACGAUACAAGUAAGUUUCUGCAGUGGUGCUAGUUAAUUCAUUGUUAAUUAAAUAUAUUCCAGCUCAUAAAGUUUGCAUGUGUAUUAGUUACUUAAUUGGGUUCGGGUUCAAUAAUGUAAUUUUCUUUGUUCAAGUAAAGUAAUACAACGAAUGGUAUAUCUGGCGUUCAAUUAGGAAGAUUCUCUUUAGUUUGUAUAUUCUUAAAAACUCGUAUAGAUACCAGAGGUUGUAAUUCUGCUAAUGGAGAUAUUUUAAGCCACUCUGCAUCCUUUCAUUUUAGUGUUGUUUAGUUUUGUUUACCCAUCGUAUCUUCUGAAAUUCCUGUCAAUUUUUAUAGCGAUAGCUCCUAGCUUUGUUUAUAGAAAUCUACACUUCUGUAUUUCAUAAUAAUCUUGCUUUUGGAUUGUAGGGAUACUCCACUGUAUUUGGAAUGGGCACCUGACAAUAUUUUAUCUCCUACCUCAACAACCGUGGAAGAAGACGAAACAAAUACAGCUGGUGAGAGGAUUAUUACAAAAGCUAUUGUAGAUCAAACAAAGGAAGGAGUUAGUGCUGAAGAGAUUGAUCCUGAUAGAGUGGAGGUUUGCAGCUUUCUCUAACUCUUGUUUUCUUGUUUGUUAUGACUCAUGAGGAGCAUUUGUUAUACUUGGCCUUCUCUAUUGUACAUAUUAUGAACAGAACAGUUAUGUAUUUUCUUUUGGUUACCCGAUUAUACUUGGGCUAUUACAAUCUUAGUAAUGUACCAUUAUUCAUUGCAGUCCCGAUCUGUAUUCGUCAAGAAUUUGAAUUUCAAGACUACAGAUGAAUCGUUAAAGCAGCAUUUCAGUACAAAAUUGAAGACCGGGAGCCUUAAAAGUGCAACGGUAUGGACAUGCUUAUGAAUAUCAAAUGCAUUCUUGGAUGUCCCACUAUCUUAAUUCUUUACCCAUCCUUUUUCUGAGUCACUAUUUAGGUGAAAAAACAUAUUAAGAAAGGCAAGAAUGUCUCAAUGGGAUUUGGCUUCGCUGAGUUUGAUUCGGUUGAAACUGCAACCAGUGUGUGCAAGGAUCUACAGGUAUCCUCCAUUUGACCUGCCUGUCAGGGUUCUCCUCCCCUCUAUUUUUUUGUGUGGUUUACAUCAUAAUGUGCUCAUAUAGAUAUGCAGCAUGCUAAAUGAACUGUGUGUUAAUAGGGAACGGUUUUGGAUGGGCAUGCUCUGAUCUUACAACUAUGCCAUGGGAGAAAGGAUGGUCAAACUGCGAAGAAAAAUGAGAAGGACAAGAGUUCAACCAAACUACUUGUGCGAAACGUAGCGUUUGAAGCAACUGAAAAGGACCUGAGGCAAUUAUUUAGUCCAUUUGGCCAGGUGAAUGUCCUCCUUUUGUUGUCGAAAUCUAUUUGAAAACCCAGAUGAAGACCAAGAACAGUCCCUAGGGAUUUGGAUUUAAUUUCAUUGAAAAUUGCAAUAAUAAUAUCAUCAUGAAGAAAAUUUCAACUCCUCGCAACAAGAAAGUAUUUAAACAUAAUUGGAUUUUACUUUUAGAUCGACUUAAUAAAGAGUCCAUUGCUUCUGGGUGGAUGACAAUGCUAUAUCCUUCCUGAAACCUAAUGAGUUUAUGUUGAUGAAAACAAUUUCAGAUCAAAACCCUCAGGCUGCCCAUGAAGUUUGGAAGUCACAGAGGUUUCGCGUUUGUCGAAUUCGUGACGAAGCAAGAGGCACAGAACGCCCUUCAAGCCCUUGCAAGCACCCAUCUCUAUGGCCGACAUCUGGUACGAACCUCUCUCAUUCAAGAUCCCACCCCCUAUGCUUCAUGAACCAACCGCAGUGUAUUGACUUUGUUGUUUUCACUUUCAGGUGAUUGAGCGAGCCAAAGAGGGAGAGACCCUCGAAGAACUGCGAGCAAGAACCGCCGCUCAGUUUGUGGACGAACAGAGCGGUUUCCAGCGGAUGUCCAAGAAGAGGAAACAGACUAGUCUGGUGGACGAAGGCUCUGUUAAGUUUUCAAGGAUAGUAGAAUGAUAAUCUCCUGGAGGUAACAGCAGGCAGCAAAAUUUUGACCAUGUAGUAUGAUACGAUAGCAUCACUCAUCUAAGGCGUGUCUCUUCUAUCUUGUCUUGUAUUUUCGGGUUGUCCAAGCUUUUGCUUUUAUCUUGUUGUGCUGUGUUUAGUGCUGGAGAAAAGAAAAUACAGAAACUUGAAUGUGCAAACUAAACUACAUCGCGCCCAAAAAUGGUAUUUAAAAGAAGUCAAAAUUACUCAGUUCGAGACAAAUUGAUGACAAAAAAUCAGAAAAGGCCAAGUAGUUCUGCCUGUUCAAAUCUGUAUGACGACCAGCUUGUCCGGUUCUGCACUGGACAUCUUUAUCUCAAAUUUUGUACAUCAAUGGGCAGAUUCAUCACUGCUAUCCUAUUUCACAUCUCAAAUGUGUUUCAAAAUCUAUCUGGCAGCUCUCUCUACAAAAGCACAAAGUAAAGAAAAUGCAAGAGCUCCUGCCUGUCCUGUCAGGUAAAGCUAUAAGCAACUUCUUUCAUGUACACCAUGGUAUUCACCCAUUUGUGGAAAAUCUAUCUUGAAAUCUCAGAGCUGGCUGUAAAUAUGAAAAAUAACGAUCAAGUAAGUCAAGCAAGCAGUAGGAAUAAUCAACACCUGGAGUCACCAGCCAAGGGAUUUAUUAUGCCAAAACCAGUCAUGCCAUUCAAUUCACUCAUUACCUGGCUACGGGCUACCUAUGCUGCUUCCACGGCCUCCUCCCUCAGCGGCCGGUGCUCGCCGCUGGUGCUCUGGCCCUCCAGGGGCAUGUACUGCGACAUGAUCGCCGCCACUUCCGAGUCCAUGUACCGCUGCACCAGAUUUUAAUUUUUUUUUCCGUCAGCAACAAAGAUUCAGUGAUUGCUUGCUUGCUAGAUUUCGAGACGGAGGAGGCUGCCGCUGAACUCUGGUCCUUACCCUGAGCCUGUACUUGUAGAAGGCGAACCCGGCGAGCCCGGCGCCUGCGAGGCACGACAGCACCAGCACCGCCACCAGCCACCCCAUCGCCGCCGCGCUCUUCCCCACGCAGGUGUCCUCGGCCUGGAUGUACACCUGGUUGCCGCCGCCGCCGCAGCUGCAGUGGUACCCGCCCCAGUUGUUCCGGCAGGAGCAGCCCGGGCAGGUGCACGCCAGCUUCUCGCUGCACUCGUCCACGUCUGCAAUGGCGGUCCGGAGUAUCAUCAGUCUCCUACCACCCACAGCCACAGGCCACGGAGAAACUGCAAGUGGAAGGAAGGUGAGCGACUGAACGAGGUGAACGCACCUUCGCAGGUGAUGCCGUCUCCCUUGAACCCCGGCGGGCACUCGCACCCGCUGAGCGACCCCGAGCCCUUGCAGGCGGAGAAGGUCUUGCCGUGCCUCGUCUCCUUCCAGCACCCGCCGUUGUUGGCGGCGCACCGCCCCGGCCCGACGGGCUUGCACUCCUUGUACCCGUUUCCCUCGUACUGCACGCCGUCCACCGCCGGACACUCGCACACCCUCCCCCUGUACGUGUCCUGCAGUGCCAACGCGCACACCGGUCAGUUUACUGUGGGAGUAAGUCUCAACUCUCAAGUGUUGUGAAAAGCAGAAAAGGAAUGAGGUAUGCUGUAGUGUACCCUGCACGCGGUGAUGUUGGUCUUGUCGUCGCGCCAGCAGCCGCCGUUGUUGUGCAUGCACUCGUCCGUCUCCAUGUCUGCCAGAGAGAUCAUACAGAUUACUCAGUAAUUAGCAGUGAGCAGAACUAAUGAAAUGAAGCGAUCGACCAGGAAAACAGCCGGCAACUGUUAUCAUCAGGUUGUAAAAUGUAAACCUUGUGUCAUGCAGACACGGGGCUCCGUGGUCUCCUUGAAACCGGCGCAGAUCGCCUUGAGGACGGCCGUGCUCUCCAGCUUCCCUGCAAAACAGAAACAAAACCACGAUCAGUUUCUUUCAGGCAAAUCCAGCAGUGUCAAUUCUCUUGUCGCCAUGAAACUUGGAGCAACCGAACCCGAUCGUACCCCUGUACUGCACGUUGUUGAUGACCAGCGUGGGCAGGAUGGUGACGUCCCCUCGAUUCCCCUGCCCGACCUGCACGACCUGCUCCGUCCGGAGCACGUCGUUGUCGGCGUCGGCGUCGGGGUCGCCCAUGCACUUCUCAAUCAUCUCCGCCGGCAGGCCGAGCGACGCCACCACCUCCUCGGCGCACCCGCGGGAGUACUUCUUCUCCCGCAUGGAGCACCGCACGCGGUAGUCGGCCACGAAGUCCCACCACGCCCACGACGCGUUGCGGGCGUUGGCCACCCGGUGCACGCACAGCUGCCGGAGGUUCUCCAGCACCACGUCGCGGCCCCGGUAGCCGGCGCCGAGGUCCCCCUCCGGGUCCGGCGCGCAGUAGCGGCCGCGGUUGAUGCACUGCGACGCGCACUGCCGCGUGCCGCGGUACUCGUCGGGGCAGAACCAGGUGAUGUAGUGCGGCGUGAAGAGCGCGUCGCCGGCCUUCUCCAGCAGCUGCGCGUGGCCCCGGAACGCCGCCACGAACGCCGCCUGCUCGUCGCACCGCGGCCCGCACUCGUCGUUGCUGUUGGUCCACAGCUCGUACUCCACCCGCGCGUCCGGGUUCGGCAUCGACUCGCGCCAGUCGAGACGGACCACCACCUCGGCGCCGCCGGAGCUGGACGCCGCGGCGCGGAGCGCGUCGCCGAAGGGCUUGGAGACGAGCGCGGAGGGGGCGGUGAUGUUGGCCAGGAAGGCCAUGUCGGGGGUCUCCUCCUCCGGGGUGUCCAUGGUCAGCAGCGGCUCGUCCACGCUGUCGGCGACCAGCACCGCCGCCGCGCCCGCCUGCUGCGCGUGCCACGUCUUGAGCGCGAAGUAGCAGCCGCCGCGGUCCACCAGGAGCACCACGGGCCGGCUGGACCGCGACUUGAACGCCGUCGCCCCGAACGGCUUGCACCCGUUGGCCUGCCCCGCGUCCGCCGGGUACAGCACCACGCCGGUCAGCGUGCCGCCGUAGUCCGGGACGCCGUAGUUGGCGAUCGCGGCCUCGUGGCGGCCCCGGAGCGAGUGCGGCGACAGCACCUUGAUGCUGUUCUUCUCCACCACGAACCGCGCCGACGCCACGCUCGCCGUGGCCACGACGACGAGCCACAGCGCGGCCGCGAGCCUGCCCCUCCUCCCGUGCCCGUGGAGCGCCAUCGCCAUGCCUCUCGGUCCGGUCUAGCUCUGCUUCCUCUGCGUUCUUGGGAAGAAAAUUUCGUGGCUGGGUUGGUUAAAACAGGAGACCACGUAGUGGAGACGACAUGGAAGUUUUCCAGGUACGAGUUUUCAUAGGAAAUGUGUAGACGAGAAUAAAAACAUUUUGGGGGAGGGGAAUUGGUCCGUAGACUGCAAAUUGGAGUCUAGAGAUUCAAAGGUUGAAAUCUUCUACGUUAUGUCGCUGUACAAGAUGAUGUAACAACUUUGUAAUUUUGCAUUGACCGGCUGCAAGUCUGCUAAAUGUUUUUUUUUUCUUUGGAAGGGGCACUAUAUGAUAGUACGAGAGAUGUGACAAUGCUUGCUUCGCACAGCAACACACCAUGUCGUGAUAAUUAGGCUCCGACCAAUUCCAUUCUUCUCCAUAUGAGAGUCGUGACACUGACAUUGGAGAUGCCCUAACCAACCAGCUCAAGGUUGGGGUCAGUCAGCGGGUGAGGGCAAUCAUGGCAACUGGCCGUGUGGGAUCAGGCAGACGUGCCAAGAACAACUCAACCCUAUUUCCUACUACACAUCAGAUCCGAUCCGUUUAAUUCAAACAAUAACACAACUACCCAAGCCAUGAUAAUUAAACGCAUUCUGGUGGAUGCUUAAUAAGGCCACUAAUUGAUGCUUACUACAUGAGAGAUCAUGUUCGAGUACAUCAUCUGGCAUGACAAAAAACCAUGAAAUGUUCAAUUAGGUUGCGCAAAAUUCAGUGUCAGUGUGUUUGGAUAGUAUUCAUCCAGUCUGGAUACAAGUCAACUGGUGUUAUUUUGUUUCUAGCACAAUCUGUUGUGCACAUGAGUAGAUGAUGGUGAACUGGAUUUAUGCAUUCCAGGAUCUGCAUCAGACAGUUUCCAUAUGCUACCUAACAGAACAUGCUCUCAUGAGAAUCUGAAAUUCUUUAUGAUCCGCAGGCAUGUGUCAAGGCUGGAACUAGAGCGCUUCGCCGGAGAAAUGGCAUACAAGCAGGUAAGUUAUGCAAACAUGAGAGAGACGAAUGGCGUAACCUCGUUUUGCAAGCAGUAAUAGCUUCCGAAAUGAGAGAAACGAAAAUAGUAUUUGCCAUGUUCAUCGUUACAGAGAUAUGACAGGAUACCAUUGCGUUAACAAUUGCAAUAUAAGAUCAUUUUGGAAGCUAAAACUGCUUGCAAAACAAUCAUAUGUUAUGGGACAGAGGAAGUAGUUCACAAUGGAGUAACCUCGUAAUCGGGUGAGCUCAAGUUCAGACAAGUGGGUACAAACAGAUGAACAUGGCAGACACUAUUUUCGUUUGAGUGCUCGUUGAGAUAUUUUUCAGUACAUUGUUGGCCACCCUAGAAUGGAUGGUUAACACUUAGGUGCACAAGCAGAAUUACCGUUACACGCGUUGUUCAAACUAACAAAACAAAAUUGCACGAUACAUAACAGAGCAGCUCGCACACCUAA